AGGAGGGUGAGGAACCUGCUAUGGCUAGAUUUUUAGGUGGUUUAAACCAAAAAAUUCAGGACAUCCUUGCUUAUAAAGAUUAUACUAAUGUAACCCGUUUGUUUCAUCUUGCUUGUAAAGCUAAAAGGGAAGUGUAGGGACGACGUGCUAGCACCAGUCUAAUAUUUCUGUAGGAAAAUCUACAUCAUGGCAGCCACGCAUGACUAUUUUACUGACCGGAUGUGCACCUACACCAACUCACACCGAGUCAACUAGCACUAACUCCUCCAUCCAGCGACAAACCACGUGGUUCUCCCACAAAUUCAGCAACCAAAUCUGUCUAGAAACCAGCCGGUAGUACCUCUUCAGUUGCUUCCACAGGUAGAACAAGAGAUGUUCAUUGUCAUCGUUGCAAGGGCUUUGGACAUAUGCAGCGUGAUUGUCCUAGCAAGCAUGUUUUGGUGGUCAAAGAAGAUGGUGGGUAUUCCUCUACUAGUGAUUUUGAUGAAGAUAGACUUGCUUUGCUUGCGGUUGACAAUGCAGGAAGUGAGGAACGACUAGAAGAACAGAUUGGUGUUGAGGAUGUAGAGCAUUAUGAGAGCCUCAUCGUGCAGCGUGUGCUUCAUCAACAAAUGGAGAGCAGAAUCAGCGGCAUACAUUGUUUCAAACAAAGUGUGUCAUAAAGAGCGUUCUUGUCGCUUGAUCAUUGUUGGAGGUUGCUGCAACAACUUGGCUAGCAGCGAUAUGGUGGAGAAACUUGCACUUACAACCAAACCGCACCCACACCCAUAUCACAUUUGAUGGCUAAACAACAGUGGUAAGGUAAAGGUAACCAAGAUGGUACAAGUUAAUUUUGCUAUUGGUUCGUAUCGUGAUUUUGUUGAAUGUGAUGUUGUGCCUAUGGAAGCUUGUAAUAUUCUACUAGGUAGACCAUGACAAUUUGAUACAGAUUGUAUGCAUCAUGGUAGAUCAAAUUAGUAUUCUGUCAUACACCAUGAUAAGAAAAUUAUUUUGCUUCCUAUGUCUGUUGAAGCUAUUAUGCGUGAUGAUGUUGCUAAAGCUACAAAAGCUAAAACUGAAAACGGUAAACAUACCAAAUCUGUUGGUAAUAAGAAAGAUGAGAUAAGAUUGAAAGGUCAUUGGUUACUUACUACUAAAUCUGAUAUUAAUGAAUUGGUUGUUUCAACUUUUGUUGCCUAUGCUUUGGUAUGCGAGGAUGCUUUGAUCUCCAAUCACGAUAUGCAGCAAUCUUUGCCCGUGCUGUUGCUAACAUUUUGCAGGAGUAUUUUGAUAUUUUUCCAAGUAAGAUACUAGCAGGACUGCCACCAAUACGAGGAAUUGAGCACCAAAUUGAUCUUAUUCCUGAUGCAUCUUUGCCGAACCGUGAGCCAUAUAAAACAAAUCCGGAAGAAACAAAAGAAAUUCAGUGACAAGUGCAAGAACUACUUGACAAAGGUUACGUACAUGAGUCUCUUAGUUCUUGUGCUGUUCCGGUUAUUUAAGUACCUAAGAAAGAUGGAACAUGGCGUAUUUGUGUUAAUUGUAGAGCUAUUAAUAAUAUUACCAUUCGAUAUCAACACCCUAUUCCACGUUUAAAUGAUAUGCUUGAUGAAUUGAGUGGUGCUGUUGUGUUUUCCAAGGUUGAUUUGUGUAGUGGGUACCACUAGAUUCGAAUGAAAUUGGGAGAUGAAUGGAAAACUGCUUUCAAAACUAAGUUCGGUUUAUAUGAGUGGUUAGUCAUGCCUUUUGGGUUAACUAAUGCACCUAGUACGUUCAUGCGAUUAAUGAACGAGGUUUUACAUGCAUUCAUUAGGAAAUUUGUUGUUGUUUACUUUGAUGAUAUACUAAUCUACAACAAAUCCAUGGAUGAACAUCUUGAUCAUUUACGUGCUGUUUUUAAUGCUUUAGGAGAUGCACGCUUAUUUGGUAACCUUGAGAAAUGCACCUUUUGCACCGAUUGAGUGUCUUUUCUUGGCUAUGUUGUGACUCCAUAGGGAAUUGUGGUUGAUAAAGCCAAGGUUGAAGCUAUACAGGGAUGUCCUGUACCAAAGACAAUCACACAAGUGCGGAGUUUUCUAGGACUUGCUGGUUUCUAUCGCCACUUUGUGAAGGAUUUUAGCACCAUCGCUGCACCUUUGAAUGAGCUUACAAAGAAGGGAGUCCCUUUUAACUAGGGCAAUGUGCAAGAUAAAGCCUUCAACAUGCUUAAAGAUAAGUUAACACAUGCACCUCUCCUCCAACUUCCUGAUUUUAAUCAGACUUUUGAGCCUGAAUGUGAUGCUAGUGGAAUUGGAUUGGGUGGUGUUUUGUUACAAUAAGGCAAACCUGUUGCAUAUUUUAGUGAAAAAUUGAGCGGGCCUGUUCUGAAUUAUUCUACUUAUGAUAAGGAAUUGUAUUCUCUUGGUCGCACUUUAGAAACAUGGCAGCAUUAUUUAUUGCCCAAAGAGUUUAUUAUUCAUUCUAAUCAUGAAUCUUUGAAUCAUAUUCAUAGUCAAGGAAAAUUGAACUGUAGAUAUGCUAAGUGGGUUGAAUUUAUUGAAUCUUUUCCUAUGUUAUUAAGCACAAGAAAGGGAAAGAUAAUAUCAUUGCUGAUGCUUUGUCUAGGAGAUAUACUUUGCUGAAUCAACUUGAUUACAAAAUCUUUGGAUUAGAAACAAUUAAAGAUCAAUAUGUUCAUGAUGCUGAUUUUAAAGAUGUGUUGCUGCAUUGUAAAGAUGGGAAAGGAUGGAACAAAUUCAACGUUAGUGAUGGGUUUGUGUUUAGAGCUAACAAGAUAUGCAUUCCAGCUAGCUCCGUUCAUUUGUUGUUGCUGCAAGAAGUGCAUGGAGGUGGCUUGAUGGGGCAUUUUGGAGCAAAGAAAAUGGUGGACAUACUUGCUGGUCAUUUCUUUUGGCCAAAGAUGAGAAGAGAUGUGGAGAGAUUUAUUGCUCAUUGCACGACAUGUCAAAAGGCUAAGUCACGGUUAAAUCCACAUGGUUUGUAUUUGCCUCUACCUGUUCCUAGUGCUCCUUGGGAAGAUAUUUCUAUGGAUUUUGUGUUGGGUUUGCCAAGGACUAGGAAGGGAUGUGAAAUUGUGUUUGUGGUUGUUGAUAGAUUUUUUAAGAUGGCACAUUUCAUACCAUGUCAUAAAACUGAUGAUGCUACUCAUAUUGUUGAUUUGUCCUUAUGAGAAAUUGUUGGUUUGCAUGGUGUGCCCAACACAAUUUUUUAUGAUCGUGAUGCUAAAUUUCUUAGUCGUCAUUUUUGGAAGGCUUUAUGGGCAAAAUUGGGGACUAAGAUUUUGUUUUCUAGUACAUGUCAUCCCCAAACUGAUGGUCACACUGAAGUUGAGAAUAGGACUUUGUCUACUAUGUUAAGGGCUGUUUUAAAGAAGAACAUUAAGAUAUAGGAAGAUUGUUUGCCUCAUAUUGAAUUUGCUUAUAACUGCUCGCUGCAUUCUACUCCAAAGAUGUGCCCGUUUCAGAUUGUUUAUGGUUUAUUGCCUCGUGCUCCUAUUGAUUAAUGCCUUUGCCAUCUUCUGAAAAACUAAAUUUUGAUGCUACUAAGCAUGCUGAAUUGAUGUUAAAACUGCAUGAAACAACUAAAGUAAACAUAGAGUGCAUGAAUGCUAAAUAUAAGUUUGCUGGUGAUAAAGGUAGAAAGGAACUAAAGUUUGAACUUGGAGAUUUAGUUUAGUUGCAUUUGAGAAAGGAAAGGUUUCCUAAACUGCAAAAAUCUAAAUUGCUGCCUCAAGCUGAUGGACCGUUUAAAGUGCUAGAGAAAAUUAAUGACAAUAAAUAUAAGCUAGAUCUGCCUGCAGACUUUGAGGUUAGUCCCACUUUCAACAUUGUAGAUUUAAAGCCAUAUUUGGGAGAGGAAGCUAAGCUGGAGUCGAGGAUGACUCCAAUGCAAGAAGGGAAGGAUGACGAGGGCAUCAACAUCAACGAUACAUCACACCUAGACAAGCACCAAUUAUUUCUGGUCCUAUUACUCGUGCCCGUGUUCAUCAACUUAAUGAUCAGGUGAGUUCAUUCUUGAGUUCAUGUUCAUCAUGUUUAGACCGUGGAGACACGUGCACUCUUGUUUUGCUUAGGAACCAAGGAGAAGAUCGAAAGGGAAAUGAAUUCGCGUAGGUUGGAUUCGGACUGCAGAACAACACCAACUUGUGAAGGUCACCAUGGUCGCAUACGAACUCGGAUUGGAGCAUUCAAGUACUUCAUGGAAAGUGCCCUUGUGCUGAAAAUGAAUGGGGCUCUCGAGAAGAGAGGAGCAGCAAAGCCCCCGCCCCCUCCUGGACCGCUGAAGUCCUCUUUUCAAUGGAUCUAGCCUCAAGUUUAUAUCUGCUUAGAGUCGUCCACAAUCGUUGAUUUAUUGCAGACACCUUUUCUUCCACGGUGCUGCAUCACCUUAUUUUUGUCCAACGGGCCAUGUAUCAAGUUGGGUCCAUUAGGGACGCAUCCUAGGGUUGGAGCACAACCCUAGCACCCCUAUGGUCAACCUCUCGCCGUCUUAUACCCCUUAGCUGCCACUAGGAACACUUGGGUUUUGUUUAGAUCAAGUUUAGCUCUCGCUACUUACUUAUAAGCGUGCGUGCUAGAUCAGCCACCCAUCUUCCUAUCUUCGGAACCCCGUCAUAAUUGAGAUUGAGUUUGAAACCUUCAUUUACAUCUAGUAAUUUAGUACUUGUUCUACUUGUUCUUGCUAGUUCUUCGAUUGCUUGCAGGACAAGUGCUCUAGUGGCUGGGCGUCACGCUCCACAAGAUCAUGAUAGCCAUUGGAGGUGGUGUAUCAGUUGCUAAGGCGCAGUGCCCUUGGAAGGCUGUAAUCGGACCAUGAACGUCGUCUCCAUCUACCAUCGAGUUAUCCCAUGUCCUCUCAUCGAAAGAUUGAGAAUCAACCCAAAUGGUUCACAUUACUAGUCGGUGUGGACUCCCAUGGCCUCUUCUAGCGCGGGUGGUGGUGGCGUGUCCCCCUGGGGGUAUUGCCUGCCGCAUCGGGCUUUGGAUCUUGCCGGAUGGAUGGCUCUUGUGCGUCAUUGACGAAGACGCCUGGAGGCGUCGUGCCUCGGUCGGAUGCCAGCUUUGCUAGGAAGUCUGCUGCCUCGUUGUCACACCAGAGGAUGUGCUGCAGCUCGAGCCUGUCAAACUUCUCCUCCAGCUUCCAAACCUCCCGGCAGUAGGCUACCAUCUUCACAUUUGAACAUGAGGAUUCCUUCAUCACUUGGUCGACCAUCAACUCUAAGUUGCCCUGGACGUACAAACGAUGAACACCCAGGUCGGACGCGAUCCUUAGGCUGUUGACAAGCGCCUCGUAUUCAGCUACGUUGUUUGACACUUGAAAAUGGAGCUGGAUUGCAUAACGAAAGCGGUCCCCUUGUGGGGAGAUGAGCACGACCCCAGCCCCCAUGCCCUUUCCCUUGAGGGACCCGUCAAAGUACAUCGUCUAGUACUCAGUGAUGGUCAGAGGCGGGGGAGAUUGAGUUUCAGUCCACUCAGCAAGGAAGUCAGCAAGGACUUGCGACUUGAUCGUGGUCCUCAGGAGGUAGGAUAUCUGGUGCCCCAUGAGCUCCAGGGACCACUUGGCAAUGCACUCUGAUGCUUUGCGACUCUGGAUGAUUACCCCAGUGGCAUCGCCAUUACCACUGAAAUGGGGUGACUCUCAAAGUAGUGGAGGAGCUUGUGCUUGGUGAUGAGGAUGGUGUAAAUCAGCUUCUGGACCUACGGGUAUCUCUUCUUGGUGUCCGAGAGGACCUCGCUAACAAAAUACAGCGGUCCUGGACCUUAAGCGCGUGCCCUUCCUCCUCUUGCUUCACCACCAGUGCGGCGCUGACAACCUAGGUAGUUGCGGCCACAUAGAGUAGGAGGGGUUCGUCCAGGUUGAUGCAAAUAGAGUGGGGGGCGAGGCAAGAAACUCCUUCAGAUGAUCGAGCUCCUGCUGGGCCUCUUCCAUCCAUCGGAACUGAUUCGAUUUCUUGAGGAGCUUAUAGAGUGACAUCCCAUGUUCUCCCAGUCGGGAGAUGAACCAGCUGAGCGAGGCUAGGCACCCCAUCAGUUUUUGCACGCCCUUGAGUGCGGUGAUAGGGCCCAAAUUCUGUAUGGCUGCUAUCUUCUUGGGGUUCGCUUUGAUUCCCCAUUCGGACACGAUGAAUCCCAAAAGCUUUCCCUUGGGAACCUCAAAGAUGCACUUCUCAGGGUUCAACUUGAUGUUAUAGAGGCGGAGGCUCGUGAACAUGCGCUCGACGUUGCUGACCAGCUGGUUGGCCUUUCUCAACUUGCCUAUGAUGUCAUUGAUGUAAACCUCAACGAUCUCUCCAAUGAGAACGUCGAAGCACCUGUUCAUGCACCACUGGUAAGUGGACACAGCGUUCUUGAGCCCGAACGGCAUUGUCAUGUAACAAUACGUCUCGAACAGGGUGAUGAACGAGGUCGGAACUGGUCAGACUCCCUCAUCGCUAUUUGAUGGUAACCAGAGUACGUGUCGAGGAACGACAGGACUUCACACCCUGUGGUGGAAUCGACCACCUGAUCGAUGCGAGGAAGGGGUAGGGCACCGUGGGACACCUUUAUUUAGGCUUGUGUAAUCGACACAUAUAUCCCAUUUCCCGCUCUUUUUUUGGACAAGAACCAGGUUAGCUAUCCACUCUGGGUGGAACACCUCUUUUAUAAACCCGGCACCUAGGAGUUGGGCGACCUCCUCCCUAAUUGCCCUAUGCUUCUCGUCAUCGAACCAGCGCAAAUGCUGCUUGGCCGGUCUUGCUUCCGGUCGGAUGUCGAGUUUGUGCUCGGCAACUUCUCUCGGGAUUCUAGGCAUGUCAGAGGGCUUCCAUGCAAAUAUAUCCUAGUUCGCGCGGAGAAAUUCGAUGAGCGUGGAUUCCUACUCAGAAGGGGUCCAAUUUCUGGAUUUGCCGGAUUGUCGCUCGGUACGUCACCAGCAAUCUAAUCCACUAGAUCGGCAGCAUGAUCUUGUUGAGCAAGAGGAUUCAGAGCAUCAGCGCCAGCUAUUUCUUCUGUGCUCAUCAGUCUAGCAGUACUUCUAAUUCGAGCCACUAUAUGUAUUAGAACCAGGCACGCAUAAGAAAAUGCCCAAAAUAAAUGGAAAAUUGCAUCAACUUAAGGAAUGAACAUCACCUUUGCAUAUUCGGCAAAAGAUGAGGCUAAAGUGAAGCACGAAUCUCAAAGCAUGAGAAUUAGGGCAACGGAGGUCCCUUCCAAAGCAACGACACGGAAAAGUUACCAAACCCUCCCUCUGUUUAUAGGCACGAACAGGUGUCAUUUCAUAACCUCGCCCAACGGUAAAAAAGCAAGGUAAAAAAAGUGAAUUAUCUACCUUCAUUGCGAGACCCAAUUUAGUGAGUGAGGAGAUGUUUUUUGCCCUUGAUCGAGAUCUCCCGAUGUUUUGAGGGUUCGGCCCGUUGGAAUUGGACCUCACCCCCGAGGGGCUACUGUUGGGGAUCUUGAUCAAGGUCUUAAAACAUCACCUUCGCAUACUAAAUAAAGGGGUUGAUCAACCAUUUCGGCAAUCAAACCAGUCAUCACCUUCGCUGGAAGUCAACACCUAUACGCCUUCAAUUACUUUCACACAUCAAUUAGUGGCAUUCGUUCGCUGACCACCUUUGCCACGGAGUGGGCGAAGGUGGAGGCUAUUUGUUUCCAUUUGGUUGCAGGUGCGCGGAUUCAUUUCGACUGAGAAAGAACGCCGUCUGAAUCAGGAAAGAGCAAGCGAAAAUCCAUGGUGCCCUCACUUCCCGAAGUCUAAGGAGCAUGGAUUCGCUCGGACGAAAGUGUUGGGGAAAGCAGAGAUAUUUCAAAUGUGACCCCGAUGGCGUGGAAGGCGUGACCCCAUUGGAGUGUACAAAUCGAUUUAGGACUCCUGCGUCAUUUUGAUGACCUCGUCCAAUGAUAAAAAAGUGAGGUCAAAAAAGUAAAUUAACUACCUUGGUUGCGAGACUCAAUUCAGUGAGUGAGGGAGACAUUUUUUGCCCUUGAUCAAGAUCUCUCAAUGUUUCGAGGGUUCGACAUGCUGGAAUUGGACCUCGUCCCCGAGGGGCUACUGUUGGGGAUCUAGAUCAAGGUUUUAAAACAUCACCUUCGCACGCUGAAUAAAGGGAUUGAUCAACCAUUUCGACAAUUGAACCCGUCAUCACCUUCACUGGCAGUCAACACCUCCGCGCGUUCAAUUACUUUCACACAUCAAUUAGUGGCAUUCGUUGGCUGACCACCUUUGCCAUGGAGUGAGCGAAGGUGGAGACUAUUUAUUUCCAUUUGAUUGCAGGUGCGCGGAUUCAUUUCGACAGAGAAAGAACGCCGACUGAAUUAGGAAAGACCAAGCGAAAAUCCAUGGUGCCCUCGCUUCCCGGAGUCUAAGGAGCACGAAUUCGCUCGGACGAAUGUGUUAGUGAAAGCAAUCACAUUUCAAAUGUGACCCCAACGGCGUGGAUGGUGUGACCUCGUUGGAGUGUACAAAUCGGUUUAGAACUCUUUUUUUAUCAUUAUGUACAGCAUAUUCCUAGAAUGUAGUGAUUGAGUGAGGCUAGGUUCGGUAUGUAAAAGUCAGCAUCCCUAUCAAAGGGGAGGCACCCCUGUUGUACAAGGGUUCGUAUUUUUUUGAGAAAUACAAGCUCUGAGAGCAUUUAGUUUUCCACUUGUGUGUUCCUAAUCAUAGUUUUUGGGAAAGAGCUUGCUCUGCACCUAACACCCGGCACACCCUGCCACCCAGAGAGGGGACGAGAGGAGGCGCGGGUUCUAAGCGAGGGGAUGGGGACGGUAUUUAUAGGGAGGGGCGAGGGCCUUGGCGCGGUGGAUAAGGAGAGCCGGCCGGGGUGGAGGCUUACCAGGAUGGCCAUGGCAGUUUUGGCGAGGUGGUUUCUGCUGCGAAGCUUCACUUGGCCAAGGGGAAAGCACGGCGGCAGCGGGGAUAAGGUGGCCGGGGUGGCUCUGGCAGUGGGUGGCAGGCGGCUGUCGGGUUGGGGUGGUUUUGCAGGGGAGUGGGUGGUUUUGGGGAGGGCAGAAAGGGCAGUGGCGAUGGGGGAAUGGACCUGGCGUGUGGCGCGGCGGAGCGGUGGUGCGACGCGGCGGCGCUGGGGGAGCUGCACCGGAUCGGCGGCGCAGGCAGGUGGCGGGGGUGCGAGUGAGGGCAGGCCGGACCGCGUGCUGGCGGGCUGAGUGGCUGGGCCGCAGAGCGGAGUUGGGCCGAGGAGGUAGGCUGGUAGGCGGGCCGAGGGGAGCUGGGCCGCAUGGCCGGUUGGGCUAGAGGCACGCGCGCUUGAGGUGGGCCGUGGAACGAAGGUGGCUGGUUGCGCAGGGGUUGGGCCGGAAUGGGAGUUGCUCGGCUCAUGAGAGGUUUAAGGGUUUCUAUUGAUUUGAGUAAGAUUUGUAAUUUAAAUUUGAAUUGGUUUUCAAAAUUGGCUGGGAUUUGAGAUGUGGGCUGGGAUAGGGUACAGAAAUGGGACUUUUAAAAGGAUCCUCAAGUUAGGAAUAUUUGACUGAGAUGAGAUGGGAAUCCUAUAGGGUUUUGGUUGCUAUUAAUACUCAAAUGGAAUUUGAAUAUUAUUUCUAGGUUUUGCGAGAGGAAGGAUUUGGAAAUUUCUAUUUCUAAAAGGGGUUCUAAGGGAAACAAUCACGUGCAACACAUAUGCUAAUAUUUUGUGCAAGAUUUAUUUAUAAAAAGGUUUUGAAUAUUCGGGAAGAAGGUAUGUGUUUAGUUUAAGAAAAAAUUUAAAAAGUACGUAUUUUAAAUGCUCUAAAACGUGGACGUUACAUUUUAUGUUGUAUUCCUGUUGAUGUACAUCUCACACGUAUCAACCGCAAUUGUAUUGUACAUGUUACCUCAUCAAAAAUUUAUGUGAGGAAACCUUCAAGUGAAAAUUCAUAAAGAGAAAAAGAGUACAACAUUAAAUCUUCUUAGCUAUAUAAUAUUCUAUAUUUGCUAUUCUUUAUAUGAAUAGUAAUCAAUCUUCAAGCUUUAUACAUAAACUUCAUGAUUCUUGCAAUAAAGAUCUGCAUGAUCUAAAUAAUCAAGUGGUAUAGCUUCAUGUUAAAAUUCAAUAAUUAAUCAAGUUGAUUCCUUCUAGAUAUAAUUUAAAAGACUUUAGAUCUAAACAUGAUUAAAGAUAUGCUCCCCUCCUAGCGACAUCUUUUGAAUGUGUUCAAAAUGUCUUAGUCACAUUCUUCAUAAAUGCAUAAGAUGGAGGAACCGCAUCUUUCCCGCAAUCGGCCAUUGCUGCGUGCUGCAUCAACCUCCAUGGAUCCUUAUUGAAAACUACUCUCCCGUGGCCUCUUCCACGACGUGACUCUACUCUCCCGUGGCCUCUUCCCGCAGACGCAGAGGCCUGCAGCCGUGUUGAAACCCGGCGGGGACCGUACCACUUUGGCUUCGAUGUCGCCAAUUCCUCGCUGUCCCGUGCUCCAGGUUCACUAGCAGCCGCGUGAGAAAAACUGGCGGGGCUCGCCGCGCCGAGAAAAAUCUCGCCACACAGCUCACGAGUCACGACGGACACCGAGAGGCCGAGACCGCAGAGGCAAGGAAAGCCGCAAGCGGCGUUGGCGAGAGGCGGCCAAGCGGAAGCUAGCUGCCAGCGUGGAUCGCCAUCCCGCCCCGUCGUCCAGAAGAUAAGGAGCGCCGCUAGGUGCCGACACGUCGCGCCGGACGAGAUAAGGAUAGGCCAGCCUGGCCGGGUGACGCCACCGGCGAACGGUGUCCACUCCUGCCACAUCCGGCCAUGGAGCCGCUGGCUAUUUAUAUACGCCGCCGGUGGAGAGGAGCCUCUCAAGCAAGACUGCCUCUUCUUCUCCUUCGUAAAUACAGUACUAGUAAGCGUAUACUAGCACUAGCUAGUAAGCCAUGGCGCCGACCGUGAUGGCCUCCUCGGCCACCUCCGUGGCUCCAUUCCAGGGGCUCAAGUCCACCGCCGGACUCCCCGUCAGCCGCCGCAUCAGUAGCACCGGCUUCGUCAGCAACGGCGGAAGGAUCAGGUGCAUGCAGGUAAUAUAAUCGAUCGAUCUAGACACUGGAAUUCUUGCUGUUACGUUGUUCAUAUAAAUAAUACAACUCAAUAGGAAGUUUAGGAACUGAUAUGAGAGUGUCGUUGCUCAGGUGUGGCCGGCGGAGGGCAACAAGAAGUUCGAGACCCUCUCCUACCUGCCACCUCUCUCAACCGACCAGCUCCUGAAGCAGGUCGAGUACCUGAUCCGGAACAACUGGAUCCCCUGCCUCGAGUUCAGCAAGGUCGGGUUCGUCUUUCGUGAGAACAGCAGGUCUCCCUGUUACUACGACGGGCGCUACUGGACCAUGUGGAAGCUGCCCAUGUUCGGCUGCACCGAGGCCACCCAGGUGUACGCUGAGCUCGAGGAGUGCAAGAAGGCCUACCCUGACUGUUACAUCCGUGUCAUCGGCUUCGACAACCUCAGGCAGGUGCAAUGCGUCCUGUUCAUCGCCUACAAGCCCCCGGGCAGCGAGUAGACCGGCGCCGCCAAAUAAAAAGCUUAAAUACUGAGACUCUUCAGCUCCUGCAUGGGCAACCAUGAAGUGUCUGUUCGUUUUUUUUUUUGCUUCGUGUCACCUUGAUUUUGUUUUUUUUUUCCUUGCUUGCUUCUGCUGUAUCCAUGGCAUGCAUGCGGAUCUCUCCCCCCAACCGGAGAGUUAUCUACAUAGGACUAGCUACUAUACAACUAUCGAUCGUUGGGUGAGGAACAUGUGAAUGCUAGCUCCGGCUAUGAUAUGUAAUAUGGAUACUAGAGCAUACCCUGCCAAUCCGCCGACAAUACUAGAUCAUGGUUAAUUACUGGUGUUUUUGUCUAAUUUUUGUGUAUCUUUGCUCAAACUUACGCUUCUACGUAAAUCAAAUGUCAUGUAUCAGAUCAGUUGAGGAAAUAAAGGCUUACAAUACCUGUCCUUUUUAUUACCCCCGGUCAGAGUUGCAUACUUGCAACAAAUGAUUUGACAGUAAUUAUAAUUUGAUGGACUUAUAAAUUCUAGCUAGUUAAAGAGGAUGAGGCCAUUGAGUUCAAACACAUACUUUGUGAAUGAAAUGGAAAAUGUAUGUAUAAUUCAAAUAAGAACAAUGAAGUCAUUGAUACGACAAGUGCAAAGGCAGUGUGUUUUAUAUUUUAGAUCAUGCAUAGAGGUAAGAAUCAUACAACCACGCUCUUGUGUCUCCACUCCAUGAGAGAAGUCCUAGUAUCUAUCGGAGUGAAGAGUGAACUGUGUGAACAAGUUUCUUAAUUUUGAACAGAAUCAAUAUAGUAGUAAAUUGAUAUAGAAUAAUGCCAAGUCAGCAACUCAGCUUGCCACCACAUAUUCAUAGAUCGAUAGCACCAAAAGGCAGAUGACGAUGACCCUAAAAGGAUGUGAGACGAAAUAGGCCACGUGCGUCACUGCUUUUGAUUGGGCUCGUAGUAGUCAAUCUAGGCAUUCCCAUACCAUCCGACCUUGGAUAUUUUUAGGGCAUUUAGUUACUCAAGGUAACGAAUUACAUUUAAUGGUAAAUCGAUCGCUACGGGAGGAAGGAACUUUCGUCCACUCCGUUAGUACCGGUUGGAAUUAGCACCAGUAGAAAACACACCUUCCAUGCGCUUACUUUUAUCUCAGUUUAAAGUUGGCCCAGGACAAAAAGGGGCGUACCACGGUAAGUUGAAAUGGGGUGGAGUUUUAGUCACGGUUGGCAUUUGCAACCGGGACUAAAGUCCCCCUUUAGUCCCAGUUGUAACGGCUAGUUACCAGCCACCAACGGCGCUCCCCUUUUGUCCCGGUUGGAGCUUCCAACCGGGACAAAAGCACACCCCUUUUGUCCUGGUUGGAGUUACCAACCGGGACAAAAGGUUUACUCCCGGUUGGUAACUCCAACCGGGAUAAAACGGGGAGCUGUUUGUCCCGGUUGGUGUUUCCAACCGGGAGUAAACUCCCAACCAGGAUAAAAGGGGUUUGUUUUUGUCCCGGUUGGAAUUUUCAACCGGGACAAAAACUCCUCCCCUAUAAAAUCGUAAGACAGAGGCCUCUUCUUCCUCCUUCAGCCCGGGCCACUCCACUCCACAAGACAGAGAGCUUCAUCCUCCUUUCCAUGGCACCGAAGCAAGCCUAGGGGAGGUGCUGCCCAAAUUUUUUUCCUUAUUUCCGUGGGGAUUUUACUCAUCCAAAGUGUUGUGAAGGUUAGCUACUUCAUUCUCCUUUCAUUUAUUGUUAUUAUGCUUUAGAGAGGGAGAAAAAUGAGUUGGUUAGAAUGAGGAAGAAUGGAGAGGAUGUGUGUAUGCAAGCAGUGCUAAGGUAUGAAUUUUUGUACAUAUAGAUGGCUUCUGCUGCUGGAGGUAGUGGCAAUGGUGGGGGCGAUCAUCGUUCCUCUCGUGGCAAGGGGAAAAGCAUAGUUGGCCCGUGUGAUAAGCCAGAGAAAAUGAGCAUGUGGGAGAAAGCAAUGCUUCGUUAUUUGCAAAUAUGUCAUGAAGAUGCUAUUGCGGUGGGUCAGGAACCUCCUUUUGGUGGUCGUUAUGCUCUACCACCAGUCCCGGGUGUUUCACGUCCACUUAGUACUACCGUUGCAGGAGGCACAAAUAAACUACAGGAUGAGGCUGGGUCAGCGAAACCUUUGUCUUCGCCACCCAAGGAUGCUUAAAGUGAUCCUAGAUAGUACUCAGUGGAUGGUUUGUCAUAGUGCACCAUGUUGUUUGGAUCUGAAAUUUGAAUAUAUGUAUUUCUAUAUAUAUCUAAACUUUUAGCAUCAUUUGCACUACAAUGUUUGACAUGAUUUCAAUCGUGAAUAGCAUGUAGAUAAGUCGUAAAGCGUAUCAAAUAACCAUCAAUAUGAUGCGAAACGGAAAUGACACACUUACUCGCAAGAAGAGAAUAUAAUAUUUGUAAUCAUUGAAGAAUGAAGAAACAAUAUAUUUGAAUUGGUAAAAAAACAACUACCAUAUAACAUAAUAUUUAUAAUGUUGGCAAGAUAUUAGAGACCUGCAUGCUAAAAAUCAUAAUAAAAUUAGCUAUGUACAACAAAAAUAAAAAAAGAAAAAAAUGCAUAAUCCAUUUUCAUGCGUAAUACGAUGUAGAUGGACCGGCAAUGGAUGUAUAACAUGGACAGACGGAGCAAGGAGUUUGUUGAUGGCUUGCAUGAUUUUCUCAAAGUGGCCAAAGCGAACAAGUCAAAGAACGGGUUCAUAUAUUGUCCAUGCUUCAAAUGCAGUAACAAGAAGGACUAUUCACAAGCUUCCUGGGGGACAAUUCACAGCUACUUGUUUAGAUACGGUUUCAUGUGUAACUAUUUGGUUUGGACCAAGCAUGGAAAAAGAUGGGUUGUAAUGGAAGAUGAUGAAGAGGAGGAAGAUGACAACAUUUCGGACUGGGCUGCAGGCCAAGCUUUUGCAGAUACUACAAUGGGCGAGCCUGAUGAAGAUGAGUUUGCAGAAGACAGCUUUACUAAUGACCUUGGUUAGGUGCUACGGGAUGCACAUAGAGAUUGCGAAACUAAGAAGGAAGUAGCAAAGUUGCAGAGCAUGAUAGAUGAUCAUCAAAAAUUGUUUUACCCAGAUUGCCAGCAGGGCCAUAAAAAACUGGGUACUACAUUAGAAAUUAUGCAAUGGAAGGCCAAAAAUGAUGUGUCCGAUAAGUCAUUUCACAGGAUGUUGAAAAUUGUCAGGAAGAUUCUUCCCGAGAAUAAUGAAUUGCCGUCCACAACUUAUGAAGCUAAACAUAUUUUUUGCCCUCUAGGAUUGGAGGUUCAGAAGAUACACGCAUGCCCUAAUGACUGUAUCCUCUAUCGUGGUGCUGAAUACGAGAAAUUGGAUGCUUGUCCCGUGUGCGGAGCGCUGCGGUAUAAGAUCAGGCAAGAUGAUCCUGGUGAUGUCGAAGGGCAGCCUCCCAAGAAGAGAGUUCCUGAGAAGGUGAUGUGGUAUUUCACUAUAAUACCACGCUUGAAGUGCUUGUUCAGGAACAAGGCGAAUGCUAAGUUGAUGCGAUGGCACAAAGAAGAACGUAAGCAAGAUGAGAUGUUGAGACACCCUGCUGAUGGGGCCCAAUGGAGAUCAAUUGAUAGAGCAUUCCUGGACUUUGAAAUUGAUGCAAGGAACAUAAGGUUUGGUUUAAGUAUUAAUGGAUUCAAUUCAUUUGGUGAGUUGAGUAGUGGUCAUAGUACUUGGCUUGUGACCCUAUGUAUGUUCAACCUUCCUCUUUGGCUGUGUAUGAAGCGGAAGUUCAUUAUGAUACCGGCACUUAUCCAAGACCCAAAACAACCCAGCAACAACAUUUACAUGUACCUAAGAUCGUUGAUUGAUGAACUUUUAUAGCUCUGGAAGGAAGAAGGUGUACGUGUGUGGGAUGAGGAUAAAUAAGAGAUCUUUAACCUAUGAGCAUUGUUAUUCAUAACCAUCAAUGAUUGGCCUGCACUUAGUAACCUUUCAGGACAAACAAACAAGGGAUAUCGGGUCUGCACCCACUGUUUAGACGACACAUACAGCAUGUAUUUGAAGCACUGUAAGAAGGUCAUCUAUAUGGGUCAUCGUCAAUUUCUCCCUGCUAACCACCCGCUGAGAAAGAGAGGGAUGCAUUUCAAAGGGGUGCCAGACAAUCGUAAAAAACCUGCACACCAUAAUGGAAAGUGUGUCUUUGAGACAAUAAAGGAUGUAAGGGUAGUCUUUGGAAAGGGUCUUGGUAGCGAGCCUGUUCCGAACGACAAUAAUGGAUGUGCACCCAUGUGGAAAAAGAAGUCAAUAUUUGGGAGCCACCUUAUUGGGAAAUCCUAGAGGUCUGCAACGCAAAAGACGUGAUGCACCUGAUGAAGAAUCUUUGCGUUAACGUGCUAGGCUUCAUGGGUGUUUAUGGGAGGUCAAAAGAUACAUUGGAAGCAUGACAGGACCUGAAACGUAUGGGGCAACGAGAUGACCUACAUCCAGAAAAGAGAGAUAAUGGACAACACUACUUACAUCCUGCCAAUUACACUCUUAGCAAGGAAGAGAAGGAUAGCAUGUUUGAAUGCUUGAAUAGUAUGAAGGUCCCAUCUGGGUACUCCUCGAAUAUAAAGGAAAUAAUAAAUAUGAACGAAAAGGAGUUCAUAAAUCUCGAGGCCCAUGACUGCCACAUGUUGAUGAUCCAGUUGCUUCCAGUUACACUGAGGGGUGUUCUACCAAAGAGUGUCCGAUUGCUGCUUGUAAAGCUAUGCACGUUUGUCAAUGCGAUUUUGCAGAAGGAAAUUGAUCCAACCAAGCUAUUAAAGCUAUAGAACAAUGUGGUGCAAUGUGUUAUCAGCUUUGAGUUGAUAUUUCCACCAUCCUUCUUUAAUAUUAUGACGCACCUCCUAGUUCACCUAGUAAAAGAGAUUACUAUUCUCAGACCAGUAUACUUGCACAAUAUGUGGCCUUUCGAGAGGUUCAUGUCAGUCCUAGAAAACUAUGUUCUUAAUUGUGCCUGUGCCUGUCCAGAAGGAAGCAUCACCAAGGGAUAUGGAACAGAGGAGGUGAUUGAGUUUUGUGUUGAUUUUAUUGACUCAAUUGAUUCGAUUGGGGUUCUAACUUCACGCCAUGAGGAGAGGCUGCGGUGAAUGGGCACUCUUGGAAGGAAAUCAAGUUUGAGCAAUGAUACUGAUUUGUUCGAUAAGGCACACUACACUGUUUUGCAACAGUCAUCCUUUGUGGCUCCAUAUAUCGAGCAACACAGGCAGAUCCUAGUUUCCAAAAAACCGACGAAAUCUGAUACCUAGCUUAUACAUCAUCACAUGGAUACUUUUCCCUCCUGGUUGCGUCAACAACUUAUGGGUAACUCUGAGAUUCACCCACAGCUCACUUGGUUAGCCAGGGGACCUUCUAGCACAAUCGUGAAAUUCCAAGGCUACGAGAUAAAUGGUUAUACAAGUUACACAACCCAAGAUCAGAAAAGCAUGAACCAGAAUAGUGGUGUCCGUAUAGAUGCCAUAGACAGAAAUAGUAUAGCAAGGACUCGUAGUAUGGUUUCAUAGAGGAGAUAUGGGAACUCAAAUGCGAACCGCUGUACAUCGCUCUAUUUCAUUGCCAAUGGUUGAAGAUAACUGGCGUAACCAAAGAUCAAUAUGGAAUGACAAUAGUGGACUUGAGCAAGACUGGAUACAGUGAUGAACCAUUCGUACUUGCCAAUGAUGUGCAUCAGAUUUUCUAUGUGAAGGACAUGUCUAGCAAACCCAAGAGAAAUCCAGAAGAGCCAUAGGAGUCAAAGCACCACAUAGUUCUUCCAGGUAAAAGAAAAAUCAUGGGAGUCGAGGACAAAACAGACCAAAUAAAUGAUUAUGAUCAGUUUGAUGGCAUGCCUCUAUUCGCUGUUGAAGUUGACCCAAGCAUCAUGCUAUCCAAAGAAGAGGCUCCGUACUUACGCCGCGAUCAUGACCAAGGACCUUUCAUGAAUAAGAAGUUUUUUAACAUUACAUUGUAACACACUAAUUUUGCUUCACCUUUAUAUAAAGUUACAUUGUAAAGUUCUAUGAUUUCAUGUACUACUUGAUACAAUUUUUAAUUUAACGUAUCUAUGAUUUCAUGUGUGUUUAAUUAGUUGAGGUGAAGAUUUAUUCAAUCAAUAUGAACAAUGUUAACCACAUACAUCAACUGAAUUUUUCACACAUUGAAAUUAUUUAAUUUGAUGAUAGCGAUGCAAUAAAAUAAUUAUUUUAGAAGCUAGAAGAACUAUUAUAGAAUUAAUGACUCAUUCAAACUUAUUGUAAAUAUACUUACUAAUUUAAUAUAUUUUUGCAUGUUCGAAAUAUGUAAAGUUCUUAUUUUUUCUUUCCUGAAAUCUAGUGAAAAACAUAUAUAAAAUCUAUUUCCCAAAAACAGGUGGGAGACGAAAAAUAGGAAAAGACCCUUUUGUCCCGGGUGCCAAUUGCAACCGGGACAAAAGUUCCCCCUUUUAUCCCGGUUUUAAAUUGAAACUAGGAUAAAAGGGUAGUUUUCGAUUCCCGCUCGGAACGUACCCUUUUAUCCUGAUUUUAGUUUGCAACCGGGACAAAAGUUCCUUUAGUCCCGGGUUUAAUUAGGAACCGGGAUAAAAGGGGGGGCGAUAAAAGUAACAGUCAUCUUCUACCCCAUUGUAACAUCCCUAGUUUAAGUGAAAUAAUUCAAAGGUUAAUUGAAGUGAUUAAGGGUACAAAUCGCACAUAAACUCUAAACCUUGCCAUGUGUAAAAUUCAAAUGCACUUAAAACCUUGGAAAACUCACAAGAAGGCAAAUUGAAGUCAAAUGGGACCCAGCAAGAAACCAAUGUGAAAACCAGCAAUUUUAGGUUGGGAAGGUAGAAAAACACCCCAAAGUUCAAAUCCCAACCUUGAAAGCUUUUCAAACACAAAGAAUGAAAAAUGCCUCAAAAAGCACUUCUUGGGGGUAGAUGUUAAAAAUAGAAUUUUAUACAAGAACUCAACUUUUGGCUAAUAUGAAAGUUGUAGAACAUUUCAAAACAAGCAACUUUUGUUAGUUGCACAUCUUCUGAUUUUGAGUGGAAGGCCUUCAAAUUUCAGUUCAAAAUUCAGAAAAUUUGGGGAAAAGUUCAAACUCAACCAUGUCUGGCGUUCCACCAAACUUCCAAGCUUUCUAUCUCCUUUUCUGUUGAGUUUUUGACACAUGAGCCUUCGUAGGAGUUAUAGAGUCAGCUUUGGACAACAAGUUUUGUAUUUGGAAAUAUUGAAGUUUCAAUUCAAAAUUUGGAGAAAAAUCGAUGCUAACAUGCUGCCCUCGCUCACCACAGCGUCGCCCACGUGCACCGGCGCCGGUGACUGCGCAUGGUGCGUUGCGUCGUGCCACGCGGUGCCGUCCCGCUCACGCCACACCCCGACCUGUCACCGCCAGUGAUGGGAUCUGACCUUCCCCAGCGCUGCCCACUCCCUGCGCGCGCAAUCCUUACCCUCCGCCGUACAUCUCUCCCUGGCCAAUUGCCGCGACACGCCCACGUGUGCUCCUGCCCACGUCCCCGCGUUCACCGCCAUGUCGCGCCGCGCCACCAGCUCCGCCGUGAUGGCCAAUACCGCUGAUGAGGUGAUGACUCGGGCUCUCCCUCCAAGCCAACUCUCGCGUGCGACAACAAGCAUCUCCGCAGCUCCGCAUUCUUCCCCGGCCACUCCCUACAGCCCGCCCACGCACGCGCCACUACCAGCCACUCCGGCGCGCCGCUCUUUUGCUUUGCCAGUGCCUGGCUGCCUUCGUGCGCCCCGGCGGGCCUCAGCCCCGCAGAUGCCCUAUACACCCUCCUGGCACCCUCCCCACGCUAUAAAAGGAGGCCCAGCUCUCUUCGCGCAACCCUCCACCACCACCCCUCUCUACCGAAGCGCCGUCGUUGCCACCAGAGCCCUCGCCGUCGAGCUAGCCCUCCCGAGCAUCGCCACCGCCUACUAGCCCCUCCGGUUCAACUCUUACACCCGCGCAGCUUCACGAGCCGCUACCCAGCCUCCUCUACCACCGCCGGUGCCGGAGCAGAGACUCCCCCACCACCGCAUAACCCUCACCGUGGAACGCCGUCGUCAAGCCUCCUCCGCCCACGUUUCCUUCAUCGUAUCGAACCACGGUGAGCCUACGACUGUGCCUAAGCCCAUUCCCCCUCCUGUUGUCGCCGCCGCUCACCGGAAUUUCACCGGCAAGCCGCCGGCGAGGUCUGAAGACCAAUUUGAGAGCCCCAAAAUCUUCCUAAGGUCUAAAUCGUAAAAUAGCAGGACCGCUCUAUGAAAGUUUAACAGUUCCAGGGGCCUUUCUGCGAAACAUUGGAAAUGUGUAGGAAUUUUUAAAAAGAUGGUAAAAAUGUGAAAUCAAUUUUGUUAGACUCCUGAUGCACAUGGCUAACUAGGAAAAAUACUUUCUUUUGUAAUAUACAUGUUUUACCUUACUUAAAUAAAUGCAUGUGGUUUAAUGUACUUUUUAUGUGAUAAAUAGUUUUCAUGCUCUUUAAAUUCUGGAAAAAUUUACAGUAGCCUCUGUUAGUGUUGGUAACCCUUCUGUAAAAUUUGUGGAACCACACUAAUGAUGAAGCUCUAGAUAAAAUUCUUUCUUCAUGUUUUGCAAUCUAAUGUUGUUUGGUUUUUAGUAAAUUUUGUAAACACCAAAUGCAUCUUAAAUUUUUUUAGUAGAUCGCUUGAGUAAUAAUGAAGCUUCUGUAAAAAUUCAGAACAUAUCUUAUUCGGUCCUUCCAAAAACAUUUUUUAAGUAAUAUCUAGUUAAAUGGAAUUAUAACAAAUGUUAAAUAGGAAGGGUAUAAGGGUAAAAGCUCUUUUAAGUUGUUUAAAAAUUCAGAAACAAGAUAACUUUCCAAAUGAAUGUUGAGCAACCCUAAACUGACCCCAUCUUUCUUUUGUGAAGUCUAAGUUGUUAAAAUAUUAUAUGUGUACACAAUCAGCAUCAAAGUCAACCCCGGGUUUUAAAUCACAACACACCUUACUUCAUGAAUUAAAUGAAAGUUGGAAUCUUGUCCAGGUGAAUGUGGUCAAAAGGCAAUUUACACUUCUGCAAUAUCAUCUGAAAUACAUCCUGCCUAUGAAAUCUUGAAUUAUUGCAUAUGCAUCUCGUGUAGAAGCGAACCUUGCUGACGGGACAUACGAGCUGCUUCUGAUGACAGAGGAGGAACCUGCCAAGCUACACUAGAUUGAGAUCGAGCAAGACCCCAGCCAAGCUUCCGACGACCCUCCUACUAACCUAGUUCAGGAAGGCAAGCCUCGGAGCAUAACCCUUAUUCAAAGUUUAUGCAAUAUCUAUGAUACUUAUGUUUGUGCAUUUAAGUUCAUAGGAGUUGCUUGAAACCAUAGCUGCAUGAUCUUAAGUACCUAUGUUUGAAUAGUAAUAUGACAGGUCGAGUAGCUACAAUGCUAAAUAGGGACCCGGUAAAAGUCAAGUGAUUUCCUGUCACUCACGAGUUAUAGGAGUUGUUUGCCUACUUAUGUUCUCACCAUAAGGACGACAGAUGGGGCUGGACUUUUGGUUCUGACUCGGUGGAAUUUAUCCCGUCUAUCUAGGAGAAAGCUGCUAAGGUCGGAAUAUGUCUAGAGCUGUGGUCAAGUGUUUGAAAGUACUAAUCUCAUACCUAGUUUGGGAUGGGGAAGCCUAGUACCUGAUUGAACCGGGACGUGAGUAGACCGCCCCACUCUCUCUAGAACUUGGUUCCCCUGAUGCAUCAUGUGGGUUCAAGGGCAGUCACGGUAUAAUGUCGUCUAGGACCGUGGGGCAUUGUAUCCAAGGGAAGUGUCCCUAACAUGUGCUUGGGGAUUGAUGGGGAUGGCUGACAUGUAUGGACCCGGUGUGGUAUUCAUAUGUUGUGGGGUUAGGUUCACCUUGCAAGGUUAUGAAACUCGAUUCGAAUCGUCUGCCUCUCACAGUUUGAGACUGCUUGACUGCACUUCUGUACUGAGUAAGAAUAGAACUGAGGAUGAUUAUCAUAAUGAUGAUGCUUGGAAUAAAAUAUUUGAUCACCAUCUUGAUUAGAAUAGGUGCUUACUUAGAAUGAAUAAGCAACUAGAACUUGAUGCUAAAACUUGAAAGUAAGAACCUAAUUUAGUUGCUUUUGGCAAAACAAAUCCCUCGGCAAAAAAGCCUUGCAUGUCUAGAAGCUGGUGGAGUAGUUACCGCCCGACGGUUAAGUCUUGCUGAGUAUUAGUAUACUCAGCCUUGCUUGUGGCUUUGUUUUCAGGAAAUAUGGUAGAUGUCGAUGAAUGUGCUGCUAGCUUGACUUGGCUGACCCAGCUCCCUCCAGGUUCGACGGUCGAGUGGGACCUGUCCUCGGUUGGCAAGGAUCGCGGUAACUGAUGACAUGGUAGGCUUCACCAUGCCAUCUCUGCUUUGACGUCUAGAUUGUCUCUUUAUUUCCGCUGCUUGAACUCUGAACAACUUUACUUUAUGCAAUUUCAAACUCUUGUGGUGUAAUAAUUAAAGUGGGACCUAUGUUAGUCUACGUGGAUUGUUGUAACCUCUGGACUCGCCUUCAUGUGAGUAUGCUUUGUUUCGAUCCGAGACAAGUGGUUUAUCGGGUGAAACCCAACAGACUACCAGGUUAACUUAAUUGUCAGUUCGCAUGUGAGGCGAAGUUGAGCACACUUUAGCUGGGUUCAUUUGGUUAGUUCUGCCACACCCCCACCCUUCAACACUUAGGAAAAUUUUUCACCGCCACCAAGAUUUGCACCCGUCCGCCUGCUCCGUCACCGUCGAUCUCCCAUCACCGCCUGUCCGCUUCCCUCGCCGGCCGCUGUUCUCUUCGUUGCCCGCCACCCCGGCCACCGUUGCCCGCCGGCCCUGGCUCCCGCAUGUACGGCGGGCCCCUUACUGACGCAAGCCACAGGCUUGCUGACGCAAGGGCCUUUUUUAUUUUUUAGUUAGAAAAUCAAUAGAAAUUUGUACAAAUCAAUAGAUUAGUAAAAAAUCAAUAGAAAAUUAAUAUUAUUAGUUGAAACUCAGUAGGAAACUACUAUGAUUAGUAGGAAAUUAGUAUAAUUUAGUUCAGAUGCUUAGUAUAAUUUUGUAUAACUUUAAGAAAUUACUAUGUUUUAUUAUAAAUGAUUCAAAAAUUAGUGGAAAUUUGUAGAAAUGCUAAACACUUAUUUCUAGUAUAAAUGCUUAGUCUAUUUUUUUUAUACAUUUGGUAUAAUUUUUAUUACGUUACUAUAAUUUAGUACAAAUACUUCAAAAAUUAGUAAAAAUUUCUAGAAAUUUUGUAGAAAUUCUUACAAAUUACAAGAAAUUUGUAGAAAUUUGGUAUAAAUGCUUAGAAAUUAGAAGAAAUUUGGUAGACAUUCUUAGAAAUUAUUAAAAAUUUGUAGAAACACUUCGAAUUUGGUAGAAUUUCUUAGAAAUUAGUAGAAAUUUGUAGAAACAUUUAAAAUUUGGUAGAAAUUCUUAGAAAUUUGUAUAGACACAUCAAUUUUGGUAGAAAUUCCAAUAAAUUAGUAGAAAUUUGUAUAAACACUUCAAAUUUCGUAGAAAUUCUGAGAAAUUAGUAGAAAUUUGUAUAAACACUUCAAAUUUGGUAGGAUUUAGUAGGAAUUAGUAGAAAUUUGUAGAAACACAUCAAAUUUGGUAGAAGUUUCUAGAAAUUAGUAGAAAUUUUAAGAAACACUUCAUGCAUGAUUCAUUAAAGACUUUCAUGUUGUUGUAUGAUUUCAUGUAUAUACCUUAACGUACAUGUAACUAUGAUUUCAUGUAACACAUUAAAGACAUUUCAUGUAAGUUUCAUUCAAGACAUUCUUAUGUAUUUCUUGUAAGUUUUCAUGUAAGUUUCAUUUCGUGUAUGGUUUCAUGUGUACAUUUCAAUCAAUUUGUUUUUUUCAUGAUUGUUCUAUGAUUUCAUGUAUAUACCUUAACGUACAUGUAACUAUGAUUUCAUGUGUGUUUAAAGUAGUUGAGAUGGCAGACGACGAGACCGCAAGGUAUCUAAUGGAGCAUAUUAGUGCUGAUAUGGGUAGUGACUCCAACCUUCCCGUAAUGUACACCGAUGAAGAGGUAACCAGGCGGACAUGUUCCUCAACAUGUCUGGUGAUGGCAAUGAAGAGCCUGAGCCCCAGCAAAACCUUACCGUGACGGAAGGUUUCGACGAGGUAUAUAUCAUUUCCAAUGUUUUACCCCAUCUAUAAUGUCUUAUUCGUUAUUACUAUGUACUAAUUAAUGGAUCUUGAACUGUUAGCCCUCUGGAUCGACGCACUGUUAGAAGGCCCGAGGUCGUACAAGGGUGAUGGAUGGCAGGCUUAUCAUCAUGGAAGUCACAAAAGAGGGUAGGCUGGUUGCUCCCGAAAAAAUGGCAAAAAAGUACAUGACUCAGAUCGAGGCAAUCUUAAGGGACAACAUGCCCAUCAGCAUCAGGGAAUGGAAGGGCAAAAGUACUAAUCCAUACGCGCUCCCGGAUAUAGAAAAGAAUAUGCUAUGGGAAGAUGUCAAGAAGCAUUUCACAUUUCUCGAAGGAUGUAAUGAAGAUGAUGUGAAAUUGUGGAUGUUGAAGAAGAUGGCCACACAAUUCCAGACAUUCAAGAAGAUGUUGGAUGCCAACUUCAUCAAGAAGGGCCAAACUCUGGAUUUCGAUGAUUGGCCAAAGUUGAGGGACCAUUGGGAGGCAUUUGUUGAAUACAAGAUGAGCGAAGACAGUGCGAAUAGGGUCAAGACCAACAUUGCUGAUGCUGGCAAGAAGGAGUACCAUCAUCGUUUAGGGUGAGGUGGUUAUGGCACAGCAAUUCCCAGAUGGCACAAGAUGGAACAAGACCUGAUCGAUCAGGGUAUCGUACCAGCAACUAUUGAAUGGCCUGAUCGAUCGAAAAAUUUGUAUUACGCUCAUGGAGGCUUCCUGAGCCAAGAGAGCCUCUUGAGCCAAGAGGAUGGGAUGCUGAUCUUCAAUGAGACAAUACAUCAGAAGGCUCAAAGGCUUAUCAAGAACAUUGAAGAUGCUAAGGCUGGGAGGUUAAAGGUGGACUGAGAGAAUGAUGAGCUCACAUUGGCCCUUGGGAAUCCCAAGCACCCAGGAAGUUGCCGAGGGUUCGUGGUCAUUCCGUGGAAGUUCGCUUUCUGAGGUGACAUCACCUCAUACAGAAGUCACAAGCAAAGAAAGGAAGAGGUUGAGGAGAGCUGGCGGCGCAUGCUAGAAUCCAGAGUGCAUUCACAAGAAGUAUGAAUGAAGGAGAAAAUCAUCGUUGAGUGGCCCUAGCAGUUGCGGAGUUGGCCCAAUCUAGAGCAUUGCCGGAUCCAAACAUCCCCAGCCCUUCUCAAUGCCUCGGGAGCAGCUAUGCUUCCACAGGGAUCCCCGAUCCAUAGAGACCAAGAUUACCUGUGGACGACGGUUUGGUGUGAAUGUCAUCACGCAACGCACCUCAUGUGAGCUGCAUACACCGGUCGGCAACCUCACCAUUAAGGUAUACUUAUACAUAAUAUUUAUGCAAUCUUCUGAAUCCAUCCACACCUCGGGAUCGGAGUUUAAUAACUUCUUUAUUUAUGUUAUAUGUAUAGGUGGCGUACGGGAGUGCCUUACCAAUCCUGCCAAGGCAGACAAGCCAUGGCAUGGAGAUUUCACCUGGCUAUGCUAGCGUCGGCCUAGAGCAGCUCGUUGAUAGCCAAUAUAAAGGCCUAGAGCUCGACCUCCCGAGAGGCAACGAGGAAAGGACACUAGGAGAUGCGCUUCACGUAAUCAUUCUAUGGCGCAAACGCUACAUCAUUAUCCCUGGCACAAAGGCAUCUCCUCAAAGGUCAAGACCGCUCCUCACAGAUCCCCAGCAGCGACCAUCUCCUCAAAGGUCAAGACCGUCAUCUGCACCACGACCUGCUCCAGGACCGUCAUCUCUAGCACAACCUGCUCUAGGACCGUCGUCACCACUGGGACCGUCGCUUCCUGCUCAAUCAAGGUCUCCAUCUCCACCACAUCCUGGUGGUGUGAGCGACGACAACGACAACAACACUCCUCCCCGAUCACCGUCACUUGGACUAAGAGCAGACCCAAGCAAGGAACCGGUAGCACCAAUUAAGAAGUCAUGACCACCGCCUCCCAAGCCAAGACAGAGAAAGAAGAAAACAAAGGAGCCUGAAGUGACUCCUGAGGAAAGCUGGGAGGCAAUGAGUCAAGCGGAGCGCUGCGCCCAAACCCAAGCAGAAGCCAGAGAGUGGUUCAGGAAAAGGGCUGAAGAAAAAAAAGCAAGGGAGAUGGAGCCACCACCAGUACAUCGAAGAGAACUAAAUUUUUUUAUCCGGAUGCAAUGAGAAGCCAAAAAGAGGAUAUCACUACUACCGAACUACGAACGAGUGCUAAUCAAGGCUGAUGAGAAGAAAAAAAGGAAAGGAAAGUCGUCUUCAAGGGGUGCUAUCCCCCACCUUGGGCAUCUACCAGAAAGAGACGCUAGAAAGAUAGCAGCAAUGCCCUUGGAUCAACAAGCAGAAGUAUUGAAUUCAUGGAAGAAAUAGGUAUGGGACUUGCUGAAUGUCUAGGGCAAGCUGAGCUGCCUGCUGCACCACUAGUUGAACCAAAAUGGAUAUUUGAGAUAGGCAAGCCUCUGGUAAGGCCUGAGUUGGUAUGGAAGCUAUCAGCAAAUAUGUAUGAAUUCCAUGAAUGGUACAUGAAGUCUCUCUGAUCAGCGCCUGGGCUCUGUAAGUGUCUGUUAAUCUAUAUGUAAAUUUUGGCUCAUAUCAUUAUUUUUUGUGCGUGCGUCAUCGUACUAACUUUGUCUUCCAUUUUAUGUAGGAUGCUAAUUCAAAUGUGACUUCAUCUUCCAUUUUAUGUAGGAUGCUAAUUCAGACGUGCCGAUGAGAAGUGUACCUCUAUGUUGGCUUCAUGGAUCCAUCCCUAGUUAACCAAAAACAGAUACAGGAGCAGCCAGAGAAAACGUUGGUGGAAGUAUAUAAUUUCCUAUACAAACAAAUAGGAUUUCAUACUACUUCCAUACAACUUCAAGUAAGUGUGUGUAUACCGUCUAUUUUCAUUUUCUUUUUCCUUACUUUAUUAAUGUUAGUUAGCUCUAAUAUAUAUGAACAUUUACGUACGCAGCUACCACUGGAUCCUCAUAAUAAUUGAGCCUGAAAGAAGCCACGUCACUGUCUUCGAUUCAUUGAGGAAAGCUCCAAUGAAGUACCAAGACAUUCAAGACAUGCUAGGCUAGUAAUAAUUUUGGACCUUUAUCUCUAUGCAAAAGUUUGUUUCCUAAAUUUUCACCUAACACUAUAUCAUUCAUUAUUGUAAUCUGCAGCGCAUGGCGAGAAUUCAUUAGGAAACACAACGGUCCAUACAAAGAAAAUCUUACAUGGAACACAGCCUUCCCGAUAUGUAUGAAGUUUGCACAUUUUGUACAUUCUAUAGUAUGGAUAUUUCAUAACUUAUUUUUUCCCCAUUAAAGUGCUUAAGAUAGGAACCCGAGAAUAAUAUAUGUGGCUACUACAUUUGUGAGCACAUGCAUGGUUUUGUGGGAUCCAAGGGAAAGAUGACGCCGCAUGACUAUAAAGUAUGUAAAAUAAAACUAUUAAUAGUUAAUUAUUUUCUACCUCCUUAUAUUUAAUUGUUAGUGUAAAAUUCACAUUUUUCCAAAUGAUAGAUGUAUAAUAUUCAACAGGGAGUCUUGAGGAAGGAAAGAGUAGCAGCAAUAUGUGAAGGUCUCGUUGGAUUCCUAUUGGACGAGGUGGUAAAUCCACAAGGAGAAUUUUAUUACGAUGGACAAAAAUUAGUCGCACCGAGCAACACCUCGACAGGAAGAUCCAAUAUAGUUUAAUUUGAUUUGUAUAACACACUAAGAUUUGUAUAGUAUGCUAAGAAUUGUAUAUAUACUAAGAAUUGUAUAUAUAGGAAUUGUAUAAAUACUAGUUUGAUUCGUUUAAAUACUAGUUUGAUUUCGUUAUAAAAAAAGUCUCAACUACUAAAGGUUAACUAAAGGGGUACGUACGUGAUGCAUGAAAUUACAAGCGCCUGCAUGGUGCGCGUUUGAAAUUUCAAGCAUGACUUUAGUCUCUGUUGGAAAAACCAACUGGGACUAGAGGGCCCCCCUUUAGUCCCGGUUGGUAAAACCAACCGAGAGUAAAGGGCCUAUCCCGCGCCUAGCAUUGCAGCCCCUUUAGUCCCGGUUGGUUUUUCCAACCAGGACUAAAGAGUGUCUUUAGUCCCAGUUGAGUGAUCUGGAACUAAAGACCCCCCCCUCCCCCGUCUCGAUUGCUUUAUCCCGGAUGGAUAUUCGGUAGAUUUGCUCCCUACCAACUGGGACUAAAGGCAAGUUUUGCACCAGUGUGAGCGCGGUACUAAUGUGAGCAUUAGUAACGGGCCUAACAGCUAGUACCCCUGGGCCACCCUGUUACCCCCUUGAGUACCGGUUGGGGGAACCAAUAAUAAAGGCUACACAUUAGUACCGGUUGGUUCUGCCACCCGGUACUAAUGUGCCAUCGAGCCUUUAGUACUAGGUAGGGUCACCAACCUGUACUAAUGUGUACCCUUUAGUACCUGUUGGUUCCCCCAACCGGUACUAAAUUUUCUCCUAUAAAUCCUCCUUCUUCUUCCUCCUACCCGAGACAUUCACCACAGCUCGAGCUUCAUCCUAUCCAUGGCUCCAUAGGGAAGGUGCUGCCGGAUUGAAGAGCAUUUAGUGGGACCCAUUCAAGUGUUCUAAAGGUGAGAAAAUUCAGCCUUUCUUGAUAUAUGGUUAGUAUACUAAUUUUAUGCUUUAUAGCUAGAGUAAUUUGUUUUUUUAGAAUAAGGUACAAUGGGGAAAUUUUUCAUUCAUAUGCAUGUGUUAUUUGGAGGUCAUAUUUGUGAUUUUUAGAAUAAGCUAUAAUUUUUUGGAUGCUAUGUUUUCAUAUUAGUCAAAGAAAUGGAUAUGAGAUUAGAAGAAUAAUUUCAUAGUGGCACAUGUGAGCGAGAUAAAUUGUGGUACAUAGAGAUAAUAAGAUGAAAUAGAGGUAUGUAAUUAGUCAUUUUUACAAUAAGCUACAAUGAAGAAAAUUUUCAUUUAAAUGUUAUGUUUGAGCUAAGUAAAUUGUGGGGGAAAAUAUAGAAUUUAUUUAUAGUUUAGUCAUUUGCAAAUAGGAGCUAAAUAAAUUUUGGUACAUAGAUAUGGCUUCUGCUGCUGGAGGUAGUGGUGAUGGUAGGGGUGAUCGUCGUUCCUCUUGUAGCAAGGGGAAAACCAGAGUUGGCCUUGAUGAUAAGCCAAAGAAAAUGAGCACGUGGGAGAAAAUAAUGCUUUGCUAUUUGCAAAGAUGUCAUGAAGAUGCAGUUGCGGCAGGUCAGGAACCUCCUUUUGGUGGUCGUUAUGCUCCACCGCAAGUCCCGGGUGUUUCACGUCCACUUAGUACUACCAUUGCAGGAGGCACAAAUAAACCACAAGAUGAGGCUGGGUCAGUGAAACCUUCAUCUUCGUCGCCCAAGGAUGCUUAAGUCCUCCUAGAUAGUACUCAGUGGAUGGUUUGACGUAGUGUAUCAUGUUGUUUGGGUCUAAAAUUUAAAUAUGUGUAUUUCUAUCUAUAUCUAAACUUUCAGCAUCAUUUGAGUUUGUCAUAGUGUAUCAUGUUGUUUGGGUCUAAAAUUUAAAUUUUUGUAUUUCUAUCUAAACAUUCAGCAACAUUUCAGUUUAAUGGUAUUUGUUUCAUGUUUGUUAUGUUUCAUUUAUAAUUGUAUGGAUGAUCAGAAUAUCUUUGGUUCGAUAAUAUUUUGUAGAUGGAUCGACAAUGGAUGUACAACGUAGACAAACGUUCCAUGGAGUACAUUAAUGGCUUGCAUGAUUUUCUAGAUUAGGCAGAAUCCAACAAACUGCCAUCCGGUUUUAUUUGUUGUCCAUGCAGAAAUUGCAAAAAUGAGAAGGAUUACUCAUCCAGAAAAACUAUUCACACCCACGUAUACAAUCCUGGAUUCAUGCCUAACUAUUUUGUUUGGACCAAACAUGGGGAAAGAGGAGUUAUGAUGGAUGAUGAUGAAGUAGAAGAAGAUGACAAUAUUCCUGAUUGGAUUCAAGGAGGUGCCUUUGCAGAGGCUCCAAUGGACGAGGCUAAAAAAGAGAUGGGCGAGGUAGAAGAUCCUAUCGAUGAUCUAGGUCAAGUGUUGUGAGAUGCAAAGGAAGACUACGAGAAUGUGAAGGAGUCAAAAAAGUUCGAGUGUAUGUUAGAUGAUCAUAAGAAAUUGUGGUACCCAUAUUGCAAACAGGGGCACAAAAAAUUCGGUACCACACAUGAAAUGCUGCAAUGGAAGGCAAAAAAUGAAGUUUCUAACAAGGGUUUUGAUGAGUUAAUGAAAAUCAUAAAGAACAUGCUUCCCGAGGGGAACGAAUUGCCGUCCUCAACGUACGAAGUGAAAAAGGUUGUUUGGCCUCUAGGUUUGGAGGUACAAAAGAUACAUACAAGCCCUAAUGAUUAUAAUCUCUAUUGCGGUGAGAAAUAUGAGAAAUUGGAGGCUUGUCCUGUGUGCAAAGCACUGCGUUAUAAGAUCAGGCGAGAUGAUCCCGAUGAUGUUGAGGGGCAGGCCAGCAAGAAGAAAGUUCCUACGAAGGUAAUGUGGUAUUUCCCUGUAGUACCACGAUUGAAGCAUUUGUUCAGAAAUAAGGCACAUGCAAAGUUGAUGCGUUGGCACAAAGAAGAACGUAAGCAAGAUGAAAUGAUCAGACACCCUGCUGAUGGGUCCCAGUGGAGAAGAGUUGAUAGAGAAUUUCCCGAGUUUGAAAAGAAUGCAAGGAACAUAUGGUUUGGUUUAAGUAUGGAUGGCUUCAAUCCAUUCGGUGAGUUCUGUAGUGGUCAUAGCACUUGACCUGUGACCUUAUGUAUGUUCAACCUUCCGCCCUGGAUGUGCAUGAAGCGGAAGUUCAUUAUGACGCUGAUAAUUAUCCAAGGCCCAAAACAAUCUGGCAACGACAUUGAUAUUUAUCUAAGACCGUUGGUUGAUGAACUUCUACUGUUAUGGAAGGAAGAAGGUGUAUGUGUGUGGGAUGAGGACAAAAAGGAGUCUUUUGAUCUACGAGCAUUGUUGCUCGUAACUAUCAAUGAUUGGCCAGCGCUUGGUAAUCUGUCCAAUCAGUAAAAUAAGGGAUAUAGAGCCUGCACGUACUGUUUAUAUGAUACUUGCAGCAUGUAUUUGAAACACUGUAGGAAGGUUAUGUAUACGGGCCAUCGUUGAUUUCUUCCUGCUAAGCACCCGUUAAGAAAAAAAGGGAAGCAUUUUGAAGGGGAGGAAGAAAAAUGUACUAAGCCCGUUCACCGUAAUGGUAAACAUGUAUUUUCUAUGAUAAAGGAUGUGAGGGUAGUCUUUGGCAUGGGCUCUGGUAGCCAACCUGUUCCGAACGACGAGGACAGACAUGCACCCAUGUGGAAGAAGUCUAUAUUUUAGGAGCUACCUUAUUGGGAAGUCCUUGAGGGCUGUAAUGCAAUUGAUGUGAUGCACCUGAUGAAAAAUCUUUGUGUGAAUGUGCUUGGCUUCCUGGGUACAUAUGGAAAGGCAAAGGAUACAAUUGAACCACGUCAGGACCUAAAACGUAUGAAAGAAUGAGAUGACCUACAUCCAGAAAAGAGAGAUGAUGGACAUUACUUGCAUCCUGCUAGUUACACUCUCAGCAAGGAAGAGAAGGAAAGCAUGUUUGACUGCUUGAAUAGUAUCAAGGUGCCAUCGGGCUACUCCUCGAAUAUACAGGCAAUAAUAAAUUUUAAAGAGAAGAAAUUCAUAAAUCUAAAGGCCCAUGACUACCACGUCCUGAUGACACAAUUGCUGCCUGUUGCACUUAGGAGUAUUCUAUAGGAGAAUGUGAGAAUGGCAAUCGUGAAGCUAUGUGCAUUUCUCGACAUGAUUUCUCAGAAGGCAAUCCAUCCAAACAAUCUACUAAAGCUGUAGAAUGACGUUGUGCAAUGCCUUGUCAGCUUUGAGAUGGUCUUUCCACCUUCCUUUUUUAAUAUCAUGACCCACCUUCUAGUCCACCUUGUUGAAGAGAUUUUUGUUCUCGGUCCUGUAUUUCUACACAAUAUAUUCCCUUUCGAGAGAUUUAUGGCAGUUCUGAAGAAGUAUGUUCAUAAUCAUGCCCGUCCGAAAGGAAGCAUCGCAAAGGGAUAUGGAACAGAGGAGGUCAUUGAGUUUUGUGAUGACUUUAUGGACAACCUGAGUUCGAUUGGAGUCCCUAUAUCACGCCAUGAGGGGAGACUGAAGGAAAAGGGCACACUAGGGAGGAAAGCUCGGAUGGACAUUGAUGAGAGUACAUUUCGUAAAGCACACUUCAUGGUCCUGCAACAAUCAUCCCUGGUCGCUCCAUAUAUGGAGGAGCACAGGGCUAUUGUACGGUCCUCAAACCAAGGGAAGAUUGAGGCCCAGAUUACACGUCAUCACAUUAACACUUUCGCCUCUUGGUUGCGGCGAUUACUAAUGGGUGAUGACAUGAUUGUAGAACAACUAGCAUGGUUGGCUAGGGAUCCAUCUAUCUCUGUAUCAACAUUCCAAGGAUAUUAGAUAAAUGGGUACACAUUUACACGAGAGCCCAAGACCAAAAGAGCACAAACCAAAAUAGUGGUGUCCGUAUAGAUGCAAUAAACAAUAAUGGAAAAAAGAUAGAUACUAUGGUGUCAUUGAGGAGAUAUGUGAACUGGACUAUGGACCUUUCAAAAUCCCUUUGUUUCAGUGCCAAUGGGUGAAACUUAUUGGAGGAGGUGUAACGACAGACAACUAGGGGAUGACAAUAGUGGACCUCAACAAGAUUGGAUAGAGAGACGAACCAUUCGUCCUAGCUAAUGAUGUGACUCAAGUUUUCUACGUGAAGGACAUGUCAAGCAAACCAAUAAGAAAGGGUGCUAAUAAGUCAGAUGACCAGCCAAAGCGCCACAUAGUUCUUCCAGGGAAAAGAAAAAUCGUUGGAGUUGAGGACAAGACUGACAUUUCAGAAGAUUAUGAUCAGUUCGAUGAUCUUCCUCCAUUUUUAGUCGAGGUUGACCCAAGCAUCCUGUUAGCCAAAGAGAACGCUCCAUACUUAUGCCACGAUCACAACCAAGGGACGUUCGUCAAGAGGAAGGUUAUUAACGUUCCAUUAGAUAAUGUUGUGUAAUGUAUUAGAACCAUUAUAAUGAUUUGUCAUGUAUCCGUGUUGUAAUGAUUUGUCAUGUAUCCACGUAUGGUUUAUUAACAAUACUAUUUGCAAAAAUCUCCCCUUAUUAAAGAACUGAUUUUUGCAUGGUUAAAUAUUAACUAUUUCAAUUUUCUAUAGCACCAUUAAAUAUUAAACCAUAAAUUUACGUACAAUUAAACAAGUACAAGACUAAGUCAUGGUAAACAUGUUAAUAACACUACAGGCACUAUUUUUCUAAAAUUUUGCAUGGUUAAAAUAUCUAUUUUUUUGAAUUUUAAAGUUAACAUAAGUAUCAUGGCCAUUAUAACCUAUUCUUACGUUAAGUUUAAUAAAUUUAUGUUUGAUAUUUAACUACAUCUAAUAUUUUUAUAGUGUACAUCUAAUCAACAUCAGGAUCAGAAAUUAUUUUUGCAAUUUUUAUGAACGUUAUUUGAUUUACUACGCAAUAAAUUAAUAUAAUAGCAAUUGUAAAAGAAAGAAAAUAGAAAGAUGUAUAGGCGGGAAGCCAAAAUAGUGGGCUACAAAGCCCUUUAGUAUCGGGUGUGUUUACCCUUUUGGUACUAGGUGGUGGCUAGACCCAGUACUAGAGGAAUGGCCUUUAGUACUGGUGCUAGCCACCACCUGGUACUAAAGGCCUUUAGUAUCGGGUGAAGGCGAGCCCCGAUACUAGGGUGGGGGGAUAAAACCCCAUUUCCUUUCUUCCCUAACACUUAGCCACACCGUGCACGUCAAUUCGAGCCCACAACAAAGUUCCUCUUGCCAACGCCUUUGCCACGCUCCUCCUCCUCCACCACGCCGCCGCCCCCCCCCGGCCGUCCCAUUUCGUCUGCCACUGCGCCGCCGCACACUCCACCACGGCUGCCGGCCCGGCCGCCCCUCCUUGCAAUCCCCCAUGACGUGGCCUCCUCGCCAAUGAGCCGCCAUCGUCCCCCCCCCCCCCCCGACGACGUGCCACCAGCCUCCUCUCUGCUUGCCCACUCCACUGCCGGCUGUAGCGGAACCACCCAAAUUAACCUGACCAAAAUGCACUUAAGUCACCUGACACGUGAUCAUGCACUUUAAGCAAGCCAACUUGGUCAUCUGUCGGAGUUCAUCCGAUAAACCACUUACUCAGGAUCGAGAAGCAUUGCUCACGCGAAGGUGAGUGGCACAGAGAUUACAACAUUUCCAUCAUAUUAACAUAGUUCAAGACUUUAUUACAUCAGAGUUUUCGAAAUCCAAAUAGAGUUUGCAAGGUUGUAAACAACGAGAAUUUAAACGGCGAAAGCUACACGAUGAUACAAAAUACCAUGGCGAAGCCGACCAUGAUAUCCAUUUCAACGAUCCACGCUAUCUGAGGCUGGUUUCCACUCGACCGACCAACCCGGAGGGAGUUGGGUCAGCCAACUCAAGCUGGCAACCAUUUCCUUGUACUCAGCACUACCUGAAAAGAUAGCCACAAGCAAGGCUGAGCAACUAGUACUCAGCAAGACUGACCCGACAGGUGAUAACUACUUCACCGACUCCUAGUCAUGCAAGGCUUUUUGGUUGUGGGUUUGUUUUUGCCAAAAGCGCCUAGAGUUGGUCCUUACUUUCAAUAAUUUAGCUCAAGUUAUAAGUUUAUUGACCAGUCUAAAUUAGCAACUUAUACUAAGCAAGCAUUGUUUCCAAACAAUUAAAGACCAAGCAUCAAGAUUAAUAUCAUCAUGUUCCAUCUUUACUCAGCGCAGAAUAGCGAUCAAGCAGUCCCAAACUGUGAGAGGCAGACGAAUCAAUUCGAAUUUAUUAACCAUGCAUGGCGAACCUAAUCCCACGAUAUCCGCGCACAACGAAGGGUUGCUUCACUUGUCAGCCGCCCCCAUCGAUCCCCAGGCACGUGUCAGGGCCAAACUUCCCUUGGCAUGCAAUGCUCCAUAGUCCCAGCCUCUUGUCGUACUGUGACCGCACUUGCACCCACAUGAUGCACCAUGGGAACCCAGGGACAACAGGAGUAUAAGCCACGCCCCAGUUCAAUCAAGUACUAGGCUUCCCUAUCCCAUACUAGGUAUGAGAUUAGUACUUUCAAACACUUGAUCACGAACGCCGACAUGUUUUGACCUUAGCAAGUUCAUUACUAGAUAGACGGGGCAAACCACCACAUUAGAACUAUUCCCGGUCCCGCCCGUCAUCCUUAUGGUUGUAGCAUCAGUAAACAAACAACUCCUAUAACUCGCGAGUGACAGACAAUCACUCGACUUUUACCGAGUCCUAUUUAGUAUAGCAACUACUCGACCUUAGCAACUAGUGUUCAGAUUCAAAGGUAUUAAGUUCAUGCAUCUAUGGUUUCAAUCAACUCCUACAAACGUAAAUGCACAAUCAUAAGCAUCAACAUAUUGCAUAAAUCUAAAAUAGGGAAGCAUGCACCGGGGCUUGCCUUCAGGUUCAGGAAAAGUUAGCGGGUCCUCAGGGUCUUGAUCUAGCUCGGGCUCAACUUUCGCGUGAUGUAGCUCUGCGGCGGGUUCCUCUUCCAGCGUAGGGUGGAGCUCGUAGGUUCCGGCGGCGAUAUUAGCUUCUACACGACAUGCACAUGCAGAGAGUUCAGAUUUUUCCAUGCUUUCGUAUGAAUGAUGCAAGGCAUGACUUAUUGCUGGAAUGAAAGUGCACCUCGACCACAUUCACCUAAACAAGGUUUUAAUUUUCAUAACUUCAUGAAGUAAGGUGGCUUGUGGUUUAAAACUCGGGGUUGACUUUGAUGUGGAUUGUGUACAUAUUUAAGAUUCUUAAGACUUAGAGUUCACAAGGAAGGUGGGGUCACUUUUAGGAUUGUUCGGGGUUCAUUUGGAGAGUCAUUUAUUUCUGAAUGUUUUUUUACCUUUCCAAAAAUUACCCAUUAAGUUUAUUAGGACUUACAUUUCUUUAUUCACUUAAACUGAUUCCUCAUCCAAAAUUUGGUUCCACAAGCAAACAGUAACAUAUGACAUUGAGAAAUUUACAAAACCUUACUUUUAUCCUCAAUGAGUUACUGUAAAAAUUUGGGAUCCAAAGGAUGGGUACAAAAAUAAUUAAAAUUGUUUUAUUAACCAAGGGUAGUAUGUACUUAACCAUUUUUAUCUCAAAACCUACAGUGAUUCAGAGGGUGAAACUUUAACAGUGGAUUGAAGGCAUGUUACAGAGACUUUGGUGAAUUUUUCAUGAUGUUUAGAGAAGGACAUCUAUUCCCCAUAUUUUUCUCCUAUUUACCUAGCUCUAAAAAGGAAGGUGGGCUUCAUUAAGCUUCAGUCAAGGUUUCAUAUUUUUUCUAUGAACUACACUUCAAAGCUAAGCUACUCCAAGUGGUUUCAUAUUUUUCUCAGCUUUGGUUUAAAACUUAUGUAAAAAGAAAGAUUUAACCCUAGAUUUCAAAUAUAAAGCUAAAACAAUGAGUUAAAGUUCUACUCCAGGGUCUUCACUAUUUUUCCAAGCUUCCAUACUCAGAAACAUACACCACAGAGUUGGAUUUAUCUUUUUAGCAUUUUUCUUUGAUUUAUUAUGAUUUAAAAGGCCUAAGAAAGAAAUAAAACUAUAGGGUAUUAUUUCCAACAGUAACACGGGCAAGAUUAUUUUUGUAAAAAAACUAGACAGUUCACUGAGUCCAACAAAAGUGGUUUUACAUUUUUCUGAUUUUUCUACGAUUUAUGGUGCAUUUACAAAGUUUAUCCUAUUUUCUGCCGAUUUGAAACAAUAAACCGAAAACAACUUACAAUCUAAACCUCGUGUCUAUGGUUUAUUCACGCAGGGGGUCCCUAGUUCUUGCGCUAAGGCCCCUGGAAAAAGGUAAAAGACACAGGGAGGCCCUUGCGGCGGCCGGCGGCGAGCUCGACUCGAUUCCAGCGAGUCUCGGGGUCAAUCGAGGGCAAGAACAGGCGUUGGAGACGCGGGAGCUCACCGGGGAGGGAUUGGCAGCGAUUGGGGUGUCGGAGUGGGCUCGGUGGCAGUGGAACAGCUUGGGGACGGGAGGCGACUUCGGCGGCGGAGUCCCGGUGGAGUUCCAGCGACGACGGGGCUCCGGGAGGGCAACAAGCUGCUCGGGUAGGAGCGCGGGGUGAUGGCGGAGCUGGCGCUGGAGGUGGCGAGGUACGGGGAGCGACGGAGACAGGGGCUCCACGGGAGGGUGAUGCGGUGGCGCUUAGAGCAGAGGAGGCGGCAGAGCUUUGCGGGUGUGGGGAGCUGCGCAGGCGGCGCAUCGACUCCUUUUAUAGGGUCAGGGAGGUGCGGAGGGCGAGAGCGGAGCCAAUGCUGGUGGCGAACGUGGCUGGAGGCGAGCGGGGGAGAAGAACAGGGUGGUGCCAUUGGCCAGCGACACUCACUGGCGGAGGGAUGGCGCGGGCGUAUGCGAAGAUCUUCCGGUGAUUGGGUGGGAGAGAUAGGAGGUGUGCGAGAUCUUCUUUAUCUGGCAGAGCGAUUGGGCAACCCGGGGGGUCAUCCUGUCAUCGUCGAGCAGCGGAUUGGGGAGGUGGAGCUCGGCCAUCGUGCAGCCAUGGCGUGGCGGAAGGGAGCAGCAGAGGCGCGGCGCAGCAUUGGGCGAGGGAGAUGCUCGGGCAGAGGAAGGAUAGGAUCACGCGGUCAUUGGGCGUCCCGGCGAGCGAGUUGUCCCGUUGUGGCCGUCGGUUGGCUGUUGGCGAGCUCGCUGGGCGAGCGACGCUCGGGCGAACAUGCCGGGCGCGUUCCGGGCGCGCGCUGGGCGAGGUGCGCCUCCGGGCAGUCCAAAAGGGCCAGUUUUGGGGGCCUUUUUCUCCAAAAUUUUCAAAAGAACUCAUGAAACUCCAAAAGUAAAAUAUGUAGACCUAACGUCCAGCUCCAAACUUUACAAAAGGAGUUUGCUUCAAAUCAAAAUGGAUUUGAAUUUAUAUAUUGAUUUGCAAAGUUCAGCAAAAUGCCGGCCUCCAGGGACUUGGACAGAUCUUGGUUUUGCUGUUUUUCAGCAUUUUGGCCGACUUUGGCUCAGAUUUUGAGUAGCUUCCCAUUUGAAUCAGGCCAAGAUGUAAUUGAAGGAAAAGUUCUUCGAUCUUAGGACUCUAACUUCUAUUCGGGACUUUUCUUGAGUUUAGUUCAGCUUGUAGUAGGAACGUGCUUGCCCAGAUGCGCGCUCUGGAUGUUUUCCAGACAUAGCGCUGGGAUGUAAGUAGGCUGAGUUAACUGUUUUACACGGUUUUGACCAAGUUUUUUAGCAGGUUCAAUUGUGAUUUGGUCCUGGGUCAGUGUAACAAAGUUGUAACACACUCAAGGAGGGCUCAAAAUCAUUAGGAUUUAGCUAAGCAAAAGUAGAAAGUAUGCAAAGCUUUAAUAGAAAACUAAUUAUUAUCUUGGUUCAUUUUACUUAUGAUAACUUGGGAUAAAAAACGAUAAUGAUUUGUGGGACUUGCCUUCCUCGAAGUCCAGAUCAUUCAAAGCUUCUUCGUAAUUUUGGUCGUCAAAGCAUUUCCGACGUCGUCAUUUUCUACAUUAUCAUAGUUAUGCGUAAACAUUCAAGCAAACAAUCAUAGCAAUACAUCAAACAUGGGUUAAAUAAUUAGAAUUGGGGUUUAGAAGGCUUUGAUAAUUUCCUAGAAUUUUCUAGGAUUUUUCUGGAAUUAUUUUGAGUGGUUUCCUAUUUUCUGGUCACAUGAAAUAUGGAUUUUUCUAUUUUAUAAAAGGGAUGAGAAUUAGUUUGGGGGUUAUAGAUGUGAGAUUUAUGCAAACAAGGUAUGUUUGGGUUUAAAAUGAUCUCUAGUAUUUUUGAGGAAUUUUUGGUGAUUUAAUUUUUGGAAGUUUCUAACAUGGCUAGGCGAAAAUUGGUGUGCAUGAGGAACAAGGGGGAGAAAGGGAGAGAGGCUGAUGGGUGGGCCAGGUGGUGAUGUGGUAGGGGAGGCCCGUGCGGUCUGUGUGGCAAGCCACAUGGUAUGCCCUAGGGCCAGGUGGUGGACCGGGGAAGGCGUGUGUGUGUGGUGUGGAUGGGCGCUGGGGAUUGUUUGGAGUCGAGUUUUGGGCGUGGGAGCGGGUAGGGAUGUGUAGCGCGUGUAGGGAAAUGGUUGGAAAGAGCCGCGACCAAUCAGAGCAUCGCUGACGGCUAGCCACGAUUCUGGCAGCGUGGCGGCUAGGCGGAGCGGAAGCUAGAGUGGGUGAGAGGGGAGGUGGUGGUGCGGGCAGCAUGACGGCCGUACCUGAGGGGCACCGAGGGCUCACGCAGGCAACAUGACAGCUGGAGUUGGCCGGCAGCGAGCUAGCAAUGGGGGGAGCGGUGGCGGAGGUGUGGCUGGCGAAGAGCGGCUGGUUGCGCGGCGGUACAAUGCCGGGAGGGGGCUAUUGCUGCAUAGCAACCCCGACUUCUACCCGGCCCGGCUCUAGGGGAUAGAGCGCAGCGGCGGGUGGGGGUGGUGUAGCAUGGUCCUAUUGCGGCAAACCGGUGUGGUGUAGAGGGGAAAGGAGGAGGGGAGAGGAGGUGAGGAGCGACGGGGAGGGCUAUUUAUUGCUUAGCGGAAGGGGCUGGGGUGCUCGGGCGGCCUUGGCCGAGCUUAUCCGGGUUAGUCAGGCGCCAAUGGUGCGAUGGCGCGUGGUGCUAGUGGUGGGGGUGGAUAGGGCUGGGAGAGGGGAUGCCAACGGGGGAGAGCGUGGUCUUGGAUGUGCCUGGUGCUGACACAUGUGUCACGCUUGCCGAGGAGAUGAAUUGGGCUGGGAUGGAGGAGAUCAGGGUGAGCUUGCAGGUGGCCGCACUCUAUAGCGCGGGUGAGUGAAUAGGGAUGGUCGGGUACUUGAGUAGGGGGGAGGGUUCUAACAGGUGCGGGGCGUGGUGGAGGUAUAGCUGAUGACGACGCGCUCCAGUGCAGGCGAGGAGGGUGGCCAAAGGGUAGGAUGUGGUGCACAGUCGGUGUGACGUCAUGCUUGGGUGAGGGAAAGGGAAGGGGGCAGGAACCAGGGGUAGAGGAUGAUCACACCGUGGUGACGUCAUUGUAACGUGGUGCCGCCGGGUGUUGAUGCAAAAGUCCAGCGCUUUAGGUUUCCAUGCCGUGCAACACAUGAGGACCUGGGAUAUCUACUUCACUUCAGUGCAGGCUCCAAAUCGGUUUGUGAGUGGUGCAAAGGCGUGCCAGUCAAUUUGACCUGAAAAUUCCUGAGCCGAUCAGUUGUAAAGCCUUUCGAACUCAUGGGUAGGUGUUCUUGGAAUAAACACCACGAUAAAUAGAUAAUUAAUGUAAUACAUGCGGUGUAAGAAAAUAAAGCAAUCAUGGCAUGUGCCAUGGGCUAUGUUAGCCGAUGGGCUAAGAAAAAGCAUUAAAAGCAAGGCAGCUAUAAAAGCGGGGAUCCCCAUUCACCACGCGCUGAUCAUGUAAGCUAGCACAUCUAUCCAAUGUCAUGGUUGGGUAUUGAACUUAGAAAAGGUAACCCCAUGAGAGGGCAAAGGCAUCCAUCUACUAGCUUACAAGACCAGAACAUAGAAUAAGGAUCAGCCGAUGGUAACUGUACACGAGCCAGAAACAUUAACAGAUAAUGGUUGACGCCAUGGUUGGGCUCCUGUAGCCUUUAGACAGUAAAACCCCACGAGAGGCGUCACCCGCUACCUGCCAAUGCAUCAGACUAGAGCACAAAAACCAAGGGCCUCUUGCCUACCGCUCCAUAAGCCAAUCAAGGUAAUGAAGUCUAAUUAGUGUCAUGGUUGGGUAUUGAACUCAGACAAUUUAACCCCGUGAGAGGGCACUAAAUUUGACCCGCUAGCCUCAAUUAAAUGAGUAUCACGAUCGCAAGGCCUCGCGCACACUCCUAUUGGCUCAAUGAAAUCAGCGUGCUCCCGCGGGAUGCGGAUAAGACCCGACUGAAGCAUCAACUCCCAGUGGUAGCGUGGUGACAUUAGAGGCCAGACGGAUGGCGACGCGAGGGGCAGGGGUAAAGAUCUAUUGGCUAAAGCAUAUAUAAACCAAAGCAGAGCACGCAAAAACUAGCCAGCCUAUGUGAUCUGAUAACUAUGAAUGCAGUAAAAGGGACUAGGAAGCUGAUGAAGACAACCUAAUCAGAUCUAAAGCAUUCGAUAACCGGUGAGAAACCGAUAAAAAGCAAGCAAGAGUAUCGACAAAAGCCUAGGGACUAAUACUUGCAGAUCAAAGGUAUUCUCGAUAGCUGCUGUGAGCGCCUAGCAACAACCCCUAGAUGGAUCUAAGAAAACUCGAUAACUUAAGCACCGUCGAUGACAACUCAACGUAUACACCAAGCCUAGGGACAUUGACUUGUAAUCUAAGGUAACUCAAUAACUAGCCACACGUGAAAACAUUCCAGAAUAUGAGACCUAACUCAGAAAGUUCUGCGAGAGGUCGCCAUGAUCGGGUGACGGUACUUACAAGCUCGCAGAGAUCAAAGCUGAUGCAGCCAUACACGUAGGAAGGAACUCGUUGAAACUACUCCACUCUUACCCCUAAGGGUUUUGGCAGCUGGCGCUGAAAGGUUGUAUUGAUUGAUUGUUGAUUGUUUUUACAAGAGCUCAUAGGUUUAUAUUUAUACCCUAGAGCAAGCUAAAGUCCUAGUCGAAUAUGACAUGAACUGUUAUAGCAAACUACUCAAACUGCCUAAGAUACAAUCUCCACGCUUUCCCUUAUUUGGUGGAGCCGAUUCUAUCUCGGACUGGGCCCGCCUGGUCUUAUGUCAGCUUCUGGAAGCAUGGUCAGCUGCGGCUGGUCUUGGUCAACAUGGCUCCACCGGUAGUCUCUUUCUCUCUCCUCUAUCAGCUGUCUGGACCUUAUCAACAACGGUUAACUCUGGCCAAAAAUCGGUGUCAACACAUGUCCCCCAAUUUUGGGUAUAACAUUAUAUUCGAAUAUUCUCUUGUCUUCAUCAGUUUGAGCUGAUAAACUUCCAAAUUCCAAUUCAGUCGUUGCCGCAAUUAUGGCUUCCCUUUCCUUGGUUCCCGUGGUGGCGCCACCCUUGAUUUUCGGGAUUCACCUUGUGAAGGAAUAUUAUAAAACUUCUCUAUCCUCCCAUCCUCUAGUUCAUCUUCCCCUUCAAGCCAAGUGAUCCUUGCACUGCCGCCAAUCUGAGAUCAGAUUUCGCUUCUGAGUUCUUCUUCAAACAUCGCGCCCGCGCAAGCAAUCGCAUGCCGAUGGCUACAUCCACUACCGUCCCAGAGGUACAGUACAUUGCCGCCCUGAUUCGUAUUAUCUUCAGAUCCAAUCUCUCCUUUUGCAAACUUUUUCAUCUCCUUCCCUAGCUUAAUUUGUAGGCGCUUAGAGACCAUGUAUUGAUCCCUCUUAGUGAUGUGAAUGAUGCUUAAUUCCUUGGCCCCAUGGGUGAUACGGAUCCAAUGGACUUAAUCAAUGCCGAAACCCAACAAAUUCUGUACAAGGCUUCUUCCAUGGAUCUAUCUGUUUGGGAAGGCGAUUUCUGUUCAUGGCCCUGCAACCCCCAAGGUUGGAUGACAUGGUAUCACAGGGUAUCAGCCACCAAGAAAGUAGAAUGGGAUGAAUUGUGCAUCGGCCAUUGUAUUAAACUUUCUUUAGCCAAUAUGGAAAAAGACGAAUCCAUGCUUGCUGCUGCUUGGUACUUCUGGUUUGAUGCAUUAAAUGCCUUCUUAUUGGUGAUGGUCCUAUGUCCCCUAGUUUGUUGGACGUCUACAUGCUGACGGGGCUCAAUAUCACUUCCCCUGCUUCUCCUUUCCUAUUUCAAAUUGUCAACAAGCACAAAUUGGGCACAAGAGGCACGAUGAAUUGUAGCCGAUAUAUCAAUUCCUUUAGCAAAACUUCGGUGCAUAUAUGUACAGUUUCCACUGGAUACUCCUUGUUGUCGUGAUUGAUCAAAGCGCAGUCUAUAUCCCGGACUCUUGAGGAAACCAAGAGAUCAAUACAAAAAUCUCAUAGACAUUCUUAACAAAGCAUGGGCUCGCUUUCGUCGACAUCAUGCGGGUGAAUUCAAGGAGGAACUUGAUUUCAAGCCUGAAUUCCCGGUAUGUGUUAAAUUUCAACAUCUCGUGACACUUCAUUGAACACAACAAAUAUUUCAUAACUUCUUUUGCCAUAUAUAUAGUGUUUGAGACAGAAGCAGGGGAAUAGUUUAUGCGGAUAUUACGUAUAUGAGUUCAUCCAUGGCUUUGUAGGUCCCAAGCAUAUAACUGACCACGAAUUCAGAGUAUGUUUACAAAUUUCUUAAACAAUAAAUUAGCUCUAAUUGUGAAGACCCAUUGAUCUACUAUAUAUAUAAUAACAUUUACCAAUGACACUGAUGAUGCACAUGAAGGAAGCACUCCUCGACACGAAAAAAAUCAGGGCAAUUCAAGAACAACUCUCUGAAUUUAGUUUUUCUGGACGAGGUAGUAAAUCUAGCGGGGGAGUUUCAUAAUGAUGGAUCAAAUCUGCAACACCGUCAGGACUCGGGUUCAGAAUAGUUGAUCCCAAAUGUUGAACUUGGAAAGUUGAUGCAAUGUAAUAUUAUUCAUAUAUGUGUAUGCAUAAUAUGUCUAUAUAUAGAAAGUUGAUGCAAUGGAAAGUUGAUGCAUAUUAGAACUAGUAUACGUAAAGGAAACAAAUACGAAAUACUAAUAUAGAAUAAAGAAACAGAAAAGAAAAUGAGAAAAAAAUAGAAAAAAAUCAUUUAGUACCGGUUGGAGAGACCAACCGGUACUAAAGGUCCCUUUAGUACUAAUUAUUUUAACCGGUAUUAAAGGUCCCCUUAGUACUAAACUAGCAAUACCGGUUGCUAAAGCGGUACUAAAGGGGAUUCCCAACCAAUAUGAUGGCGCUUUCCCCACCAGUGGAUCUUCGGCAUGGCAUGGUGUGGACGCACACCAAACGACGAGCCCAAAGAUGGAGGAACUGCAUCUUUCUCGCAACCGGCCAUUGCUGCGUUCUGCAUCAACCUCCUUGGAUUCCGUGGCCUCUUCCACGACGUGACUCUACUCUCCCGUGGCCUCUUCCCGCAGACACAGAGGCCUGCAGCCGUUGAAACCCGUAUGACUUUGGCUCCGAUGGAGCCAGUUCCUCGCCAUCCCGUGGUCCAGGUUCACUAGCAGCCGGGUGAGAAAAAUUAGCGGAGCUCCCCGAGAAAAAUCUGGCCACACAGCUAACGAGUCACGACGGACACCGAGAGACCGAGACCGCAGAGGCCAGGCAAGCCGCAAGCGGCGACUGCGAGAGGCGGCCAAGCCGAAGCGCUAGCCGCCAGCGUGGAUCGCCAUCCCGCCCCGUGGUCCGGAAGAUAAGGGGCGCCGCUAGGUGCCGACACGUCACGCCAGACGAGAUCAGGAUAGGCCAGCCUGGCCGGGUGACGCCACCGGCGAACGGUGGCCACUCCUGCCACAUCCGGUCGUCCUGCGCCGGAUGGGAAGAUGGGGCGCCAUGGAGCCGCUAGGCUAUAUAUAUAUGCCGCCGGUGGGGGAGCCUACAGGGACUCAAGCAAGCCUCGCUCUGCUUCCUCUUCUCCUUGGUUAAUAAUACUAGUAGUAAGCAUAUACUAGCACUAGCUAGUAAGCCAUGGCGCCGACCGUGAUGGCCUCGUCGGCCACCUCAGUUGCUCCAUUCCAGGGGCUCAAGUCCACCGCCGGACUCCCCGUGAGCCGCCGCUCCAUCAGCACCGGCUUCGUCAGCAACGGCGGAAGGAUCAGGUGCAUGCAGGUAAUAUAAUCGAUCGAUCAAGACACUGGAAUUAUAUUCUUGCUGUUUGUUCAUAGAAAUAAUGCAACUCAAUAGGAAGUUUAGGAACUGAUAUGAAAGUGUCGUUGCUCAGGUGUGGCCGGCGGAGGGCAACAAGAAGUUCGAGACCCUCUCCUACCUGCCACCUCUCUCCACGGACGAGGUCCUGAAGCAGAUCGACUACCUGAUCCGGAAGAACUGGAUCCCCUGCCUUGAGUUCAGCAAGAUCGGGUUCGUCUAUCGUGAGAACAGCACGUCUCCCUGUUACUACGACGGGCGCUACUGGACCAUGUGGAAGCUGCCCAUGUUCGGCUGCACCGAGGCCACCCAGGUGUACGCUGAGUUCGAGGAGUGCAAGAAGGCCUACCCCGACUGUUACAUCCGUAUCAUCGGCUUCGACAACAUCAAGCAGGUGCAGUGCGUCAUGUUCAUCGCCUACAAGCCCCCGGGCAGCGAGUAGACCGGCGGCGCCAAAUAAAAAGCUUAAAUACCUGUCCGUCUCAGUUCAACACCGCUUGAUUAUCUCCAUUUUUCCCCAUCUGAACGCUUCUGUAACUAUUGGGCGAGCAUGCGUGCCCAUGAGCAAUGCUACCAUUGGCUUGCUAAACAUGUGAAUGCAUGGUACAUAGCUCCGGCUAUACCUUUGCACAUAGUGAUAUAUUUACACGAAUGUAUACACAGCGAUCAUAUUCAUACGACAAUGUACCACUAGAUUGCCAAUUCGUUGGAACAUUAUAACAUGGUUGUUUUACUUACGUAAAUGAUCAUAUGAUAAUACAAGGAAAAAGUGUAUUUUUCAUCCCUCAAAUAUUGCAAAAGUGUGAUAUUCAUCCCUCAUAUUUCAUUUGGGGCAAAUCAACCCCUUAACUAACUAAAUUGAUACAUUUAUCAUCCCAUCUUAGUUUAACAAUAGUUUAGUGCCAUCUAACGGUAGCUUAUGCCCACGCAAUCAUCCGACUAAUCACUAGUUAGUGUAAUAUGUUGAGUUGAAGAUAUAAAACUCAAAAAAUUCAGUAAAUUCUCUAAAUUUGCUACUUAUAAAAAUUUUAUCGGAAAAUUUGACAGAACUGAAUCACACCAAACUUUUGAUUCAGCAUUAGACGUGACUAAGCAAUGAUUAAUAAGAUGAUUACAUGGCCUAAACCGAUAUUACAUGAUACUAAGCCAUCAUUAAAUAAGUUAGGGAUGAUAAAUGCACCGAUUUAGUUAAUUAAGGAGUUGAUUUUCAUCAAAUGAAAUAUUAGGAAUGAAUGUCACACUUUUGCAAUAUUCGAGGGAUGAAAAAUACACUUUUUCCAUAAUACAAUAACAUAUAUAUAUAUAUAUAUAUAUAUGCUCAGUCAUGCAGCAAAGUAAUAUCGCCAUUUGAAUUUGGGCACAAUAUUUAAGGUAAGAGGUAGAACGGCCUUGUUGCCGAUCAACUAAUGCUAGAGUUAACACAUAUAGGCUGUGAAAUGGAAACUGCGUGAUGCUAAGAGCAAGAUUAUCGUUGUUGAUAUGGGAAGUGCAAAGGUAGUUUAAUAUUUUAGAUAGAUCAUGUAAGGAGGUAAGAAUCAUACGAGCCAACCUAGCAAAGUUUCUUUUGAACGAAACCAAUAUAUCAAGAUAGAAUAUAUGCCCAGUCAGCAUCGGCUCAGCCUUGCCACCACAGCUCAGCCUUGCCACCACAGAUUCAUAUAUAGAUCUGUGGUCGCCUUUUUCCUUGUAUGCUGACGAUAUGGUCGUCUUUUUCUAUCCAGUCGCCCAGGAUCUCGUCGUGAUCAGAGAAAUCCUAUCCCUCUUUGAGAAAGCUACAGGGUUGGCAGCUAAUUAUGCUAAAAGCCAAGUUUUCCAUAUUCAUUGCUCAGACAAACGUUCGCCUGGUCAGGGACAUCAUGCGAUGUCAGAUCGCGGACUUUUCAUCACUACUGAAAAACUGAGCAUUCGUCCAACGCAUUAGUACCGGACGUUAGUGCCGAUCCUCAAGCAUAGUACCACCGGGUACCCUUUAGCACCGGUUUGGAGCCUCAACCAAUACUAAAUGGCGACAUGGGGACCGGGUGGCCAACGGCUAGAUUCCUCUGGAAGCCAUUUAGUACCGGCUGGUAGUUCCAACCGAUACUAAAUGGUGUCCACGCACGUAUGUACCGACUGGUAGCUUCAACUGGUACUAAAUGUCACAAUUUAGUACCGGUUAGAGUCACCAGCCGGUACUAAUAUACAAACUAAAAAAAGCUCGUUCUUCCUUCCUGAGCCCAAGCUCAACCAUUUAACCGAGAGUUCGGGCUUCUUCACUCCCAUGGCGACCUAGGGGAGGUGCUGCUCAUUUUUCCCACGAUUGGUGGGGAUUCCACUCUUCCAACUGUUCUAAAGGUUAGAACUUCAUCCUCCCUCCUCUAAUGUUUAUGUUUAGUAUUCUACAUUUUAUGCUUUGUAGCUAGAGAAAUUUGUAUUUUUUUAGAGUAAGAAUGAAUGUAGAGUUUUUUCAUUUAUACAUGCAUGCAUGGAGGUUAUAAUGUAUAUUUGUUAGUUAUGAUAGUAUGUUCGAAGUUGAGAAAUUCAUAUUGGUUGAUGAUAAAUAUGUAAUUUUUUUAGUACCAUGUUGGAUGAGAUAUUUAGUUUUAUUUAAAAUAAAAAUAAUCAACUAAUUUAAAUGCUUUACGUACAUAAAUAACAUAGUUGAGCUCAAGCUGACGGCAAUUCGGGACAAAUGAAGUUGCUGCCGGAAUUUUCUGAAAGUGGUCCAUAAAAGGUCAGCAAUAUUUUUCAGAAAGGUUUUUUUUACAUUUGUUGCUUUACAAAUGGAGAAGUAAAUUAAAAACUUUUUGCAGAUGGAUCGGCAAUGGAUGUACGGCUACCAGUGCUCCAUGGCAUUCAUUAAUGGCCUAAAGACUUUCCUCGAAGCGGCAGACGCCAACAAGUCCCCGAAGGGUUUCAUGUGUUGUCCAUGCAGAAUGUGCAAAAAUUAUAAGGAAUACUCUAAAAGAAAGACUCUCCAUGACCACAUAUAUAGUUCGGGUUUCAUGGAAAACUAAAUUUUUUGGAGCAAGCAUGGCGAAAAAGGAGUUGUAAUGGAAGAUGGGGAAGAAGAUGAUGAUGAUGAUAACAACAUUUCAGCUGAUUGGGCUGAAGGCAAUGCCUUCGCAGAUGUUCCAAUGGGUGAGCCUGAAGAAGAUUUUGCAGAACAUGAACCAGUUGACGAACUAGGUCAGGUGUUGCUAGAUGCAUGGGAAGAGUCCGAAAAUGCGAAGGAGAAAAAGAAGUUUGACAAGAUGUUGGAGGAUCACAAAAUGUUGUUGUAACCCGAUUGCAAAUAGGACCAUAAAAAGUUGGGUAGCACACUGGAAUUGAUGCAGUGGAAGGCAGGAAAUGGUGUGAGCGAUAAGGGAUUUGGGGAGCUAUUGAGAAUCGUAAAGAAUAUGCUUCUCGAGGGUAACGAACUGCCCUCAACCAAAUAUGAAGCAAAAAAAGGUUGUUUGCCCUCUAGGAUUGGAUGUAUAGAUGUAACACCCUAAUUUUAAAAGUUUUGCAAUUAAUAAAAUAUAUUAGAAUUCUCUUAGGCAGUUCAUUGUUGCAUUCAUGCUGGUGCAUUAUUUUUGGUUGUUUGAAUUCAAUUUUUCCAUUGAAUUCAUUUGUUUGGUUUUCCUUUUCAACCUUUUCUUUUCCCUCUUUUCUCUUUCUUCCUCUGACUUGUUUCUCUUUCGGCCAACUAGUUUUUCCUUUUGGCCCGUACCUCUUUUGGCCUGGCGUGCUCCGCCACAGCGGCCCAACCAGCCAGUCCCUAGUAGUAGCCUAUUUCCACGUGCACGCUUGAGCGGCUGCUGCUGACAAGUAGUCCUUACCCAUCAUGAGUAACCCCUAACCGUCACCCCCUUCUUCCUGCUAGUACCCAAGCCAGACUCGAGUUCUAGUUCGGGUCGCGCAGCACCCCGCUUUUCUUGGCCCGCAUGCUAAGCUUUGCCUCUCGGGACUUUAUAAAGCUCCGCUGCUGUCGGUGUUUUAGACCGGCAACCCACCUAGGGAGUACCCUAGGUGGUAUUUUGUGCAGUGGGUGUCGUCGAGAAUCAAGGAGUCAAUGGUGAUGUAAGGAACAUGAUUUAGAUAGGUUUGAGUCACUAGAUCGCGUAAUACCCUACAUCAUUUGUGUUGAUUGUAUUGAUUGAGUUGUCUUCUCUUUGGAGGGGGUCCCUGCCCACCCUUAUAUAGUCAGGGGAGCAGGGUUAUAGGACGGAUUGUGUACAAGUCCUAGUCGAGUACAUUACAGAGUCCUACUCUAACUCGGUAAUCUACUUCCUACCCGACUAGUCUUCGGGGAAACCAUGAAGCCUACGCGCCCUGCAAAGUAGACUUCAUGUCCGAGUAGGUUUCGGGUACAUCCCCUUUGAGUGGGUCCGUAAGUCUUCUAGCGGGCCCAGGGAUGCCUAGCCAACAAGCUCCCGAGUACUUUGUAGUUGAGAGAAACAGCUCUGAGUACUUGAGGAUGCCGCCUGAUUUCUUCCUGGUGUUCCUUGAGUACUCCUUGAUGUGGCCAACCCUCAAGUUCUGGUGCUGUCGCAUGAUAGGAAGGUACUCUUAGCAGUCCCUGAUGUUCGCUUUGAGUAACCUUUGCCUUGAAACUUUUAUAUGUGGUAGUGCGAUGACAAUCGUACUCUAUAUGGAGUAGCCCCCGAGCCUUAGGUUGAAUCGGAGAAUCAGGCUGAGGGUCAAACUUGUAAUUUUGCUUCGACUUAAGUAGUCUUCAAAAAAUAGAAAACUUUAUCCAACGAAUACGGUAUACACAGCCCCGAGCACUUGGACAACUACUUGUAGUCGAUGAAGGGGUCAAUCUUUUGGCCAGAGUAACUGUUGGACAUUAUGGUGGUAAAUCUGAGUUGUAUCCGACCGUUGCUUAAUUGACACUUGGAAUCCGGAGAUGCUGUUGAUAUAAUAAGGGGGCCCAACGGUAAUUAGCAAAAUGCUUGUUUUAAUAGAUCCGUAAUUUGCGCCCCUUUCUUGUGACCCCAGCGCCGCCUCCGAGCUCGAACUCUAGUGCGAUCUCGUUGAUCUCACCCUACCUCUAUUUUCGUGUUGACAAGGACAUCACCAGGAGCUUAGCCACGUGGUAAGGAAGUUUCAAGUGAAGUUUUGUAUGCUCUUGAGUUCUCUAUCGAGCAUUCAGGCUCACCGGAGUAGCUACCGUCGCCGUUGAGCCGUCUCGCUAAGCACCACGUCUCUUCCACCGCACAAUCAGCUUUGCGAGUACCUUAGUUUGGUUUGCAAGUUUCCCAGCUUUGCUUCUAGCCAGUUUCUGGCUAGUUGGCUUUGCUAGCUAGUUCUCCGACUAGUUUUAGACUAGUUGGCUUUGUUCUGACUAGUUUCCCGACUAGUUCCCUUACACCUUGUUUGGUUCAUAUCUUAUGCGUUUUAGAUCCGUUUUGAACGAUUAUUGUGUCUUCAAGUUCGUCUUAAUGCAUAGAUUAGUUUUAUGAGCUUGUUCUUCUCUGUUGCUACUUUUUGGUGUAUUGUUCUCUUAUUUCGUUCCAUUGUUUGCUUGUAUGUACUUGUUUGAUGUGAGUAAAAGGACCGCAGGUCGAGGGAUUCGAAGAUUAAGCCUUUGAAGACUUUGAGCAGACAGAGCAGGUUCAGGAAGGCAAGUGUGUCCUUGUGCUUUUGUUCUAGUAACUAUAUUUAAUCACCAUUGCAUUGCCCUACAUUUGAUCUAAUGGGUCCUAUUUAAGGUUUGACUAGUUUUUAUCCUUAUCCCUUGAUCAAUUUGGGUUUACUUUAAUGUUGGGUAGCGCUUGCUUAGUUGCUCAACUUGGGUUAUGGUGGUAUUAAUGAACCAAUGAUUAAACUUAUUUUAUUUGUGCUAUACCUUUUCAUUAAUACAAGAUCACCAUGAUUAAUUGGAACAUGGAGAACCACAAAGGAAAAUAGUACAACCACAAGGACUAUAUGGCUCUAGUCAUAGCGUAUUAAUUAGAGAAUCUAGUCUGAAGCAGUCUUACCGAAAGGGCAAGAGGGGCGGCGGCAGAUGGGGUAUAACCCGACCCUCAAGACGAUCUGCUCUAUGGUUGCUUUGCAGUCUUGAGAGGUUUAUGCUCUGCUACUAAUCCGGGAACCUUAGCGGACUAAUUCUUAUUAGGGAAUCUUUGUAAAGGCAUCGUAGCAUCCCUAUGCAAUCACACCUCGGAAGUGUGGUAUUGCGCUUGGCCGACACAGCAUGGUUGGGUUUAAAGUUCUUUUGAACUUUUACACGACUUGUGGGUAAAGAUAUGCAACCUCUGCAGAGUGUCAAACUAUAUAUCAGCCGUGCUCACAGUUAAGAGUGGUUGGACCCUCACAUGAUUAAUCUAUCGGAAGUCAAACUAAAUUGAUGUUAUUUAUGUUUUGUUAUUAUCUCUAUCCAUGUUCUUUUUUAAUUGUGUGUUGGAAUAUACAUAUACCCUAGUAAUCAGGUGCUAAUCAAAUUUGACCAACUAAAAUUACUUAUCGCAAUAAACAAGUCAGCCUUUCCUUGUUUAAGCAUUGUAUUCAUAUUAUUCCCACACUUGCUGAGUACGACAUGUACUCACCCUUGCUAUAAUCAACGUUGUUCAAAAGAAGUUCUUGAAGAUUUUGAAGAGAUCUAGGUAGACGUGUGCCACCAGUCAACUGCCUGUGGAGUAGUCAUCUACUGCUAGAGGAGCAAUCGACUUCAUCGUUGAAGAUUCUGCUAUGAGAAUAAAGACUUGAUUGCUAUUCUAUUUAAAGACUUUCGGUUAUGUAAUAAUUAUUACUACUCUAUUUACAUUAUGGCAUUGUCUAUGAUAUUCUACUGAAGUCAUUACAUGUGUGAAAUUUGAUCCUAGCGCACAUGUAAUUCAUUCAUCUAGUUUGCGUUUAAAACCGGGUGUAACAAUAGAAGAUACACGCAUCUCCUAAUGAUUGUAUCCUUUAUCGCUGAGAGGAAUAUGAGAAAUUGGAUGCUUGUCCUGUUUGCGACACAUUGCGGUAUAAGAUCAGGCGAGAUGACCCUGGUGAUGUUGACGGGGAGCCUAUCAAGAAUAGAGUUCCAGAAAAGGUGAUGUGGUAUUUCCCUGUAAUACCAUGUUUGAAGCGCUUGUUAAGAAAUAAGGCGCACGCUAAGUUGAUGCGAUGACACAAAGAGGAAUGUAAGCAAUAUGAGAAGCUGAGACACCCUGUAGAUGGUUCGCAGUGGAGAAACAUUGAUAGAGAACAUAAGGUUCGGUUUAAGCACUGAUGGAAUGAAUCCAUUUUGUGAGCUCGGUAGUGCUCAUAGUACAUGGCCUAUGACUCUAUGUAUCUUCAACCUUCCUUCUUGGUUGUGUAUGAAGCGGAAGUUCAUCAUGAUGUCUGUUCUUAUCCAAGGCCCAAAACAACCUGGCAAUGACAUUGACAUGUACCUAAGACCGUUGGUUGAUGAACUUUUACUGCUUUGGAAGGAAGAAGGUGUAUGUGUGUGGGAUGAGGACAAACAAGAGACUUUCAUUCUCAGAGCAUUGCUUUUUGUAAUAAUCAAUGAUUGUCCUGCACUGUGUAGAUGAAAUCAACAACAUGUAUUUGAAACACUGUAGGAAGGUGGUGUAUCUGGGCCAUCGUUGAUUUCUUCAUGCGAAUCACCCUUUAAGAAGGAAAGGAAAGCAUUUUAAAGGGGUCCCGACACUCGUGCUAAGCCUUUGCACCAUAUAGGAAAGCAUGUAUUUUCUAUAAUAAAGGAUGUGAAGAUAGUCUUUGGUAAGGGUUCCGUUAGCCAACCUAUUCCGAACGACGAAAACGGACAUGCAGCCAUGUGGAAGAAGAAGUCUAUAUUUUAGGAGCUACCUUAUUGGGAAGUUCUAGAGAUCUGCAAUGCAAUUGAUGUGAUGCACUUGAUAAAGAAUCUUUGCAUGAACCUGCUUGGCUUCCUCGGUGUUUAUGGGGCACCAAAGGAUAUAUCAGAAGCAAGGUAGGACUUGAAAUGUACGGAACAACAAGAGGACCUAUAUCCAAAAAGGAGAGAGAACUGACAACACUACUUAUGUCCUGCCAGCUACAAUCUCAGCAAAGAGGAAAAAGAAAGCAUGUUUGUUUGCCUGAAUAGUAUGAAGGUCCCGUUCGGGUACUCCUCUAAUAUACAGGGAAUAAAAAAUGUGUAAGAGAAGAAAUUCACAAAUCUAAAGUCACAUGACUGCCACUCUUGAUGACACAGUUGCUUCUGGUUGUAGUGAGGGGUAUUCUACUAGAGAAUGUGAGAUUGGCAAUCGUAAAGCUAUGUGCGUUCCUCAAUGAAAUUUCACAGAAGGCAAUCGAUCCAAACAAUCUAAUAAAGCUACAGAAUGACGUGGUCCAAUGUCUUGUCAGCUUUAAGAUGAUGUUUCCACCUUCCUUCUUUAAUAUUAUGACUCAUCUCUUAGUUCACCUUGUCAAAAGAGAUAACCAUUCUAGGUCCAGUAUACCUGCACAAUAUGUGGUCUUUCGAGAGGUUCAUGUCGAUCCUAAAGAAGUACGUUCGUAAUCGUACCUAUCCAGAAAGAAGCAUCACCAAGGGACAUGCAACAGAGGAGGUCAUUGAAUUUUGUGUUGACUUUAUUGAUGAAAUUAGUCCCAUAGGGGUCCCCGUGUCACACCAUGAGGGCCACAUGAAGGGAAAGGGCACACUCGGGAAGAAAGCUAAUAUGAACAUACAUGAGUCUGAAAUCCACAAAGAAAACUUCAUAGUGCUGCAGAAUUCAUCCUUGGUGGCUCCAUAUAUGGAGGAGCACAAGGAUAUUGUACGGUUCGCAAACCCAGGAAAGUCUGAGGCCUAGAUUACACAACAUCACAUGGAUACUUUUGCAACAUGGAUCCGACGACACCUCAUGGGUAACGAUACGAUUGAUGCACAACUUCAAUGGUUGGUAUCAGAUUUUUAGGCCCAUUAGUACACCACAGGGUUCCCCAAAUGGUCUAUUUGUAGGCAGGGAGGAUCGUGAGACCAAGAACUCAAAGGUGAUUACGAGAACACGAAGGGUUUAGACAGGUUCGGACCCCCGGAGAGUAAUACCCUACGUCCUGUAUUUUGCUGGAUUGUAUUGUUGGUAUGCAAUCUGCAAAGUUGAGGUUGGUUGCAUUUCAUGCCCCCGGGAAGCACCCCUGGUGACCUUAUAUAGGCUGACGACCAAGAGUUACAAGUCGGUUUGAAUCUAGUAUAGUCAGAUGUUACAUGAAAAUCUAUCUGAGUCAGAUUACAACUUGUAUCCUGCAAUAUCCCGGCUGAUUUGAAUCGCCCGACCUUCCUUAAUUUGUACUCCAAAUAUCUUCAUGUCCUUGGCUUAUACGUUCUACUUGGGCGGGCCCACUUGUCAAGGCCAGCCAGUAUCUUGGUCAGUGGGGACCCGUGGGGUACCCAUAUUCAUCAAGCCCCCAAGCAAUUUGUAGGCAAAUAGGAACCUGAGGACAUUGCAGCAAAGCUUGGAAUGUGGUCGGCUGAAGUUGCGAUGGCAUCAUAGUGACGAAGAGGCUACGCAGUGCUCAAAAAGAAGAAAAUCUGAGCGAACGCAGAGCCAUACGCACAGAGCGAAGUCGAGCGCUGAGCUGGUGGAUGUCAGUUAUCCAGUAGGUCAAAGCGAAGGACAUGGAGGGUGUCGCAAGACACACUCCAUAUGGAGCAGCCCCUAAGCAUUGAAGCGAUUAGAAUACUUGGUCCAAUGGUCAAAAAAGAAGAACUUGAUCCCAAGAAUAGGUCCUAGUGCCCAAGCACAAGGAUUGGUGGGACCAUGGAGGCACACCGAUCUGAAAUAGGUGCCCAACCCCCAAGCGUGAGGACUGGAAAAAGCCGCGGAGGUGCGUCAAGUCGCCUCCUGCCCUGUGCCAAAGAGGUCAGCCAGGUGACGGGAGGCACGUUGAGUCGUCUGCAGCACCCAGCCCCAAAGCCUGGGAGCUGGAUGAGUCACGGAAGUACGUCGAGUCGCCUCCCGCCCUGAGCCAAAGAGGUCGGCCGAGCAACGGGAGACACACCAAGUCGUCUGUGGUGCUCAGCCCCCAAGCCUGGGAGGCGGACAAGUCACAAAAGUACGUGAGUCACCUCCCGUCCCUAAGCUAGAGAGGUCGGCUGAGCAGCAGGAGGCAUGCCGAGUCGACUGUAGCGUCCAGCUCCCAAGCCUAGGAGCUGGACGAGUCAUGGAAGUACGCCGAGUCACCUCCCGCCCUUGAGCCAGAGAGGUCAGCCGAGCAACGGGAGGCAUGACGAGUCGGCUGUAGCGCCUAGCCCUCAAGCUUGGGAGCUAGACGAGUCACAGAAGCACGCCAAGUUGCCUCCCGCCCCAAGCCAGAGAGGUCGCCCGAGCGGCGGGAGGCACGUUGAGUCAUUUGUGGUGCCAACCCCCGAGCUUGGGAGCCGGACGAGUCACGGAAGUACACCAAGUCACCUCCCACCCCUGAGCCAGAGAGGUUGGCCGAGCAGCGGGAGGCAUGUUGAGUUGACUGUAGCGCCUAGCCCUUGAGCCUGGGAGCCGGGCAAGUCACGGAAGUAUGCCAAGUCACCUCCCACCCCUGAGCCAGAGAAGUCAGUCAAGCAGCUGGAGGCAUGCCAAGUCGAUUGUAACACCCAGCCCCGGAACCUAGGAGCUGGACAAGUCACAGAAGCAUGCCAAGUCGCCUCCCGCCCCGAGCCAAAGAGGUCGGUCAAGCAGCGGGAGGCAUGCUGACUUGUCUGUGUUGCCCAGCCCCCGAGCCUGGGAGCCAGACGAGUUGCAGAAGUACGCUGAGUCACCUCCCGCCCCGAGCCAGAGAGGUCGGUCAGGCCAUACCAAUAGACCGUGGAGGCUGUGGUCGAGGAGCUAGACCUAUAGAAAACUGUAGUGUGUAUCAAUCUGUGUCAUGAAACAAAUAAUGUAGACGUAGUAAAAUUUCGUGUGGUAAAAAGUGGUUUCCGCCCCUCCUUUGGUUGAUAUGACAGGACAUUGUUUAGGUGAGGCCUGUAGCCGCUAAGCACCCAGCCCUGCCUGAUCAGCAUUCUGCUGAGAGCGGAUCUCGAGCUUGUAGAAGGGGUGAAUGUAGGGUUGUUUGGGUUUCAUGAGCUAGGACCCUGACCAUACUCAUGUUAGUCAUAUUGCUGCGGGAGGAAGAGGGAGAACACGUGGGACCUGGAGGUCGGCACCUGCGGGGAGCCAACAAGCUUGAGAGCAAGUUGGCUAUCAAACAGGUCAGAUAGCCCCCGAGCGUCAAGAACGGCUUGGGUAGGAAAAUAGGAAGGCAGUAGGUACGCAAAGAACAUAUGAGGUUUUAUUUACUCAAUGUAAAAGGUAGAAAGAGUACAAAGCUUUUAAGUCCUAAAGGUAGAAGCACCGUAGGUAUUGGUUGUUCCAUGGGUUGGGGAUGCCUGAGUCGUCCACCCACUGCAGCCCGUAGGUGCCGGGUUGGAUGACCAGUGAACCAUGGAGGCACAUCAAGUCGCCUUCUGCCCCGAACUAGAGAGGUCAACCAGGCGAUGGGAGGCACACCGAGUAGUUUUUAAGCUGCUGGACAAGUGGCGCAAUGAUCCUCGGGCGAAGACCUUGCUCCAUCGAAACAGAUCCGAUGGACACCGAGCUGGUGAUGGGUGCCUAGUCGAUGGAGGAAGCGAUAGAGCCAGAGCCUAUCAGCAUGCUCCUGAAAUAGAUUUUGAUCGGGAUGGCGACAAAGUCCUUCAUGCUCUCGGGGAAGAUGACGCUGGGGCAGGAUGCCAUCAAGCUCCCUGGGGGAUCUCACGAUCGCCCCUACCUAGUGUGCCAAUUGUUGGAUUUUGAGGCCAAGCAGUCCACCAGGGGGUUACUCAAGUGGUUUAUUUGUAGGUAGGGAGGAUCACGAGACCAAGAACUUGAAGGUGAUCACGAGAACACAAAGGGUUUAGUAGGUUCGGGCCCCCGGAGAGAAGUACCCUACAUCCUGUAUUUUGCUGAAUUUUAUUGCUGGUAUGCAAUGCGCAGAGUUGAGAUUGAUUGGGUUUCGUGCCCUUGGGAGGCGCCCCUAGCCGCCUUAUAUAGGCUGACAACCGAGGGUUACAAGUCGGUUUGAAUCUAGUCUAUUCGGUUGUUACAUGGAAAUCUAUCUGAGUCAGAUUACAACUCGUAUCCUACAAGAUCCAGGCUGAUUUGAAUCGCCCGACCUUCCUUGACUAGUACUCCAAGUAUCUUCAUGUCCCUGGCCCGUACGUUCUGGUCGGGCGGGACCACUUGUUAGGGCCGGUCAGUGUCCCGGUCGAUGGAGAACCGUGGGGUACCCAUAUCCCUCAGUUGGCUAGGGGACCAUCUAUCUCGAUAUUGCAAUACCAAGGGUACGAGAUAAAUGGGUAUACAUUUUAUACGAGAGCCCAAGAUCAAAAGAGUACCAACCAAAAUAGUGGUGUUCGUAUAGUUGCAAUAGACAAUAAUGGGAUUAAGGACAGCUAGUAUGUGUCAUAGAGGAGAUAUGGGAACUUGAUUAUGGGCCUUUGAAGGUCCCUUUAUUUUGCUGCCAAUGGGUUGCUUGAGGAGGCGUAACGAAAGACCGUUAUGGAAUGAUAAUAAUGGAUCUCAACAAGAUUGGAUAUAGAGACAAACCAUUCAUCCUAGCCAAGGAUGUGAGUCAGGUUUUCUAUGUCGAGGACAUGUCAAGCAAACCCAAGACAAAGGCUGGAAAAAAGAUAAAAGAUGAGCCAAAAUGCCACAUAGUUCUGCUAGGGAAAAGAAAAAUAAUUGGAGUUGAGGAUAUUUUGGACAAGUUAGAAGAUGUUGAACAAUUUGAUGACCUUCCUCCAUUCUCAGUUGAGGAUGACCCCAAGAUCCUAUUAUCCAAAGAAGAUGCUCCGUACUCACACCGCGAUCAUGACCAAGGGACAUUUGUCAAGAAGAAGAUUAUCAAUGUUCCAUUGAAUAAUGAUGAGUAGCUUUAGAACUUUAGUAUUAUGUGGUACUAUGUGGUCAUGUGAUGAACUAUGUAAUAUAUUUUGUACAAUUCGAACAAGUAUGUGGUAUUUCUCUCGAUUAACUAUACUAUUCGUACAUCUUGGGUCAAAUAAAACAAACACAAAUUCAUAAAUUACUUUUUCAUGGUCAAAAUAUUAAAUAUUUGCACUAUUUUGGAUCAUCAAAAGUCUUGAAACAUUAAAUUAGAGGCAAUUACACAAGUACAUUGUAUACUGAUGGCAUACUUGUCAAAUUUACUAUAGCUAAUAUUUCUUAAUAUUUUUGCAUCUUCAAUAUAGUAGUUUUUCCUUUUUCGUGGGAUUAACAGCAGUAUGGAAACAUUUCAUAUCCUAUUAGUAAUUAUGAUUUUCUAAUUUCACUAUAUAAAUAAAUUGUUGUAUGGUGUAGAGAUAGUCAACAGUAAGGUAUGAAACUUUUUUCAAUUUAGUUUCUCAAGUUUACUCCAUUUAUUAAGCAUAAAACAAAUAUUGCAGCAAUUUUUAGAAAUGACAAAAGAAAAUACAGUGUUGGUAGGAAACAAAACGGUGGAGGAAGAUUAGUAUCGGGCAGAGGCUUUGCCUGGUACUAAAUUUCCCCAGUUUCGCAUCCUGCCUUUUUGGCAGACUAGUCAGCAAGCCCCAUGACCACGUCAGCAACUAGAAAUUAGAAAAUAAAUUAGAAGUUGAUAGAAAUUAUUGAAAUAAUUGGAAAAUGGCUAAUAGUAAUGGCUAGAAUUACUUGUUGAAUUACUUGUUACUUUAGAAAUCAUUAAAAUGGUUAGAAUUACUUUCUUGAUUAUUUAUUUUAGUUUCAUUUAUUUAGAAUUACUUUCUAUUUAGAAUUAUUUUCUUGAGAUUGGUAGAAUUCAUUGAGAUUACUGAAAAAAAA
rnacentral:lncRNA from 1 species